rnacentral:lncRNA from 1 species
UUAAGCAUGGUUUCUUUUACUUCUUUUUUUGUUGGGUUGGGGUGAUCGUAUGAAACCCAUUUUCCUGGCCUAAAGAAACUAACUUUAAAUAGCACAGUCAGAGUAACUUGGACAUUAAAAUUAGAGAACUUGACAUUGGUUCAGUUUUCUGUACAAGUAGUGGUAUAUUGAGCAGUGAAUUAUGAGAAGCAACUACCUCCCCUAAGCUUCAGGUUUCCAUUUUGAUAACAAUUGUUGGAUAAUGGGAAUUUUUCUGGCUUACUCAAUAUGAAUUUUCUUGAAGAGCAAACAAAAUUUCGAGGAGUAAUUGAGAAGGACAAGAAUCAGUUUUUCAUGGUAUUGAAGAACCUUCAAGAAGAAAGUAUAGAUUAAAGUACUUGGAUAAGCAUUCAACUAAGUGCUUUGAUGGAGUACACUGAAUAAGGAACAAAUAUGAGUCAAUUGAGUUCAGCUAACUGAAACCGUAGUUGGUUUUAAAAAAAAUUAAUGGAAUGCCAUAAGAGAUGGAGAGUCCAACAUUAAUAUCAACCAAACUCCAGACAUGAAAAAAGUUUUAAGCAUUCAUCAUACAUGGAUGUAUUCAUAUGUCAAUUAAGUAAUAUAUAGCCUCGUUUAUCGUGAUCCCAUUCACUAAAAACCCAUUAUAUAGUAUCAGCAAAACCUAGAUAAAGUGCCAAAAACAUGAAAACUAAUGCAGGCGUAGCAAGUCAAGAAAGCCGCCCAACUUACAGAACAAUAUUAAUGUAUUUGGAAUAAAAAUCAUAAAUAAUUCAAAAAUGAAAACCUAAAAAACUCUAAAACUAAUACCUCAACCUAACCUAUUCUUAUUAAUUUGUUUUACCGAUCGCAGAAGCUACUCUCAUUGGCAUUAGAGUGCUCCUUGAAGGAUCUGCCAAAAGAGCAGAAGAUUUAAAAAUCAAUAUUGCAUAUGAAAAAUAGCGUUUAGCAAUGGGAAAUUACAUAUUAAAUAAAUGUAUCAUCAUUGUAUCAUAUUUUUUCAUGAGAUAAUAAUCUAUAAAUGACAUGGACUAAAAUAAAUUAGACUGCCUAAAUAAAUUUUUCUGUCGUUGAUUUCUAUCAAUAGCAACAUCUAAUGCAUUUUCUUUAUUCCUCUUUUUAAUAAAGGAAGAUACUAUGAUAAGGCUCAUGAUAUUUCCUCUCACAAGUCCCAUUAAAGUUUAACUUGGGUUCUUUUUUUGGUCACAUGUAAGAUCCAUCUCUUAGCUACAUUAGAUGACGGCAGAGUGGUCCAAGCUUAGCUUUGAAAAUUAAACUAGCUGUUUACAUUCUAGGAUUCUUUGAGUUCUCAAAGUAUUAACAAGAUCAUAUCUCAAGUGUAAAGCAUCCAUAUAUUCUACCUCAUGCAUCCAUCAAGUAAUGUUAGUAGAGACAUAUAUUAUUAUAUGUCAGAUUAAUUAAUUGCAUUGGUGUAAAUUAAUGUGGCAAAUUGAGGAGCUAUUUGAUCGAAUCUACUUUAUAAUGCUUGAGCAAUUCAUGUUUUGGCAUGACCUGAAUGCUUUACUCCUUGAGUCUUCUCUAUGAUUUUGAAUUGUUUGUUCUGAUGUCUUUGUUUGACGUACUAAAACUAGAGUUCAGCAAAUUAGAAUUCCACCGCCAGUAGUUAUUCAAAUAUAAAGUCAUUAAAUUUAAAAAUAAAAAAAGAGAUAAACUUUCAUGGACUUUUUGAAAAUCAACCAAAUAACUUGGUGGUCAUUACAACAUUCAUAGCAUAUUGCCACGCAGAGCAAAUCAUGUAAUUAGCUCCUCUUUCUCCUUUGCAAAUUGCAAGCUAGAAUCACUUUUUCAACAUAGUAUAAAAUAAUAAUAUUCAUGGAACAUCAUGAAUAUCUAUAUGCCGGACACCCAAUUAUCAAUCAUUCCUCUCUACAAACAUGCACCAUUAAUAUAUUUUAUAUAUAUAUAUAUANNNNNNNNNNNAUAGAUCGCAAUUUACCACAUCUUUCACCAGUAAAUGUUCUCUUCGCCAACCACGUUCUGUUUCCAAGUGCCGGAAUCUCCUCCCCACUUACCAAACUCCUCCUCGAACUUCUGCUUCCAAAGCUGGUCACUUGACGUCUACUUCCAAAGCUGGUCGCUGCUUCCAUUCAACACAAACACAUUGAAUCCUCGCAAGAUCGACCCCAGUAAGAAAGUCCAAGAUCCGAUUUUUAAGCUCGGUGAGAAGGCACAUCAAGCUAUAAGGUACAGCCAACCCAUUCUUGAAGCAAAUUUCGAUGAGGAGAGUCCGGGAAAGCUCAUCUCUCACGGUCCUCCACAGUUCGAGGAUCUCCUUCUCUUCCUUCUUGCUCAUUCCGUGCAUAGAUUUAAUCAACGGACCGGCGCGCUUCGAGAUGUCGAAAGAAACCCGAUAGAUCCUGGAAUCCGUCUGAUCCAACAACCCAUUGAUGGAAACAUUGAACGCGGUGGCGGAGAACGACAGGACGACAGCACUCCCGUUGCUAGGGUUUCCUCCAUUGGGGCUAGGAUUUCCGCCAUUGGAGAUGGGUGUUUUUGAGCUAGGGUUAGGGUUUCGGUGGAAAAGAGCAGAGGGUUUCGGAACGCGGAGCUCCGAGGGAUGAGGAGGGGAUUUCGUUUCCUGAAAGAGCGGGAGAAAGGAUACGACGGCGUGAGGGGCUCCGUCUCUUUGACUGAAGAAUUCAUUUUGCGGUUGAUUAAACCAUAGCCGUUGGAUUGAUAUCUUCUGGAUGCUCUCAUUUAAAAGGUUCGAUCUGAUUAAUGAGGCCUAAUUCUCGUUAUUUUAGAAAAAAAGAAUACAAUUUCAUCUAUAAUUGUAUUAAAAAAACAGAAUUCUGAAUUUUGAAUAUUUUCUAAAACAUCAUGUCUAUCGGCUUUUUCUAUUCAAUUUUUAAAAAUAAAAAACUUUUAAAUUUUUUUAAAAAGUUAUCAAGUCUCUGCCCAUUUGGAGUUCAGCAAUAAUGGAGACAUGGCCAAUGAAGAAAUCCUUUGGAAUUUAGGGUGGAAUUAAGGGGAUGACAUAUUUACCCUUCUUUUCUUAUUUAAUGAUUUCUUAUUUUGAUCCUCUAAUUACAGACUAUUGAGAGGGGUUCUUUUAUCAUGUGGUAAGAGAGAAGGUGUACAUGGAGAGUUAGCUGAUUUGAUUUAUAGCGUUGCUAAUUGGCAAAAGAGGACAUGAGGGUAAUUAAAUGUUAGUAGUUAGUUUCGUUUAGUAGAGCUGUUGGCAGUAGAACUUUCGGAAGUAGAAUUUUUUGAAAUAGAGCUUUUGAAAGUAGAGCUUUUAUUAAAAAACUAUUUGCUCUUUGAUAACUACAUUUCUAAAGUCCUAUUGAACUUUAAUAUUUGUUUGGUAAACAAACUGAGAAAGUACUUUUGGUAUGACAAAAUGACCAUAAAAAUAUUACAUAAUAUUAUACAGCAGAGCAUAAUAAAAUAUAAUAUAUAUUAAUACAUAAAUAUAUGAUAUAGUAUAAUAUUACUAUAAUGUAAUAUAAUAUUAUUAUAAUAUAGUAAUAUAAUAUUGUAUGCUAUAGCAUAAUAAUAUAACAUAAUUUGAUAUUAUAUAGCAUAACAUAUCAAUGUAUUAUGAUAUAAUGUAAGAUAAUAUUAUAUUUUUUAAGUAUAAUACAAUAAUAAAGCUAUAAAAUAUUAUAAUUAUUAUCAUUAUAUAUUAAUAAAUAUAAAAUAAUAUUUUUCUACAAUUAUAAUAUUUUAUUAUGGGUAUUUUGAUCCAAAAAGAAAAAAAUUAUAAAUCAAAACAGCUUUUAGACACAUGCUAAAAGUGCUUUUUCGAAAAGGCUUUAUUUUCAAGCUUCUUCUAAGAAGUUGUUUUAGCUUUCUGACAAAGCUAAAAUAGCUUUCCGAUUUUUUUACUAAAUACUCCUAUUUUAUCCAAAAGUACUUUUGGAGGGUCAGAAAGUGCUUUAUGGCCUACCAAAAGUUCCGCCAAACAGGGUCUUAGUCUUAGCCGGCGCAUGUAACUUGCACCCCAAAAUAUUUUUCUUCAAAAUACAAAUAUAAUUGAGUAUUAAAAGUUUCAAGGUUACUUAAUCUUAAAUUUUCUAAUCUUCCAUGGUCGCAUCAAAUAUUUGUUAGUGAAUGCUACUUAGAACACGAGUCCAUUUCAAUGGGGAAUUCUCUAGGAAUAGUCUUGAAGUGAGAAAUAUUCACAUCAACCAACCAUGUAAAACUGAAAAUUAUAUGAAUGCUAGGGGAAGACAAGGCAUCACCAAAUAUUCAAGAUUGGAGGGGGCACCUGGGAACAUUGAUAACAGCUCCUUUUUAAGAAAAUGAAGACUAGAUAAAUUUGGGCCUUGUUUUGAUGCCAAACAAUUGACGGGCCGGACCUAAGAUUGAGAGUCUUUUGGAUAGACUGCACAAAAGGCCCGGUACAAGAAACCACCUGAUGACUGGUAAUCGGAUUUUAGUUUGGAACCAAACAUUAAUCCAACCUUUUCACCAAGAAGGAAAAAUUAAUCAGAACUAAAUACUAGGUUAGGCUUUGUGAUGAUUUAUUCAGAUCGAAUCCACUUAGGAUGAAUGAUGGACUACUCAUGUGCUGCCUAAAGAGAUGGUGGAAGAGUCAAUGCAGAGGCAGCCAAGAAAGGUUAUCAACAUGCAGGAUGAUGAGAAGACAAUGUCAAAAAUUCUUCUUAAUGGGAAUGUUAAGAUAACCUUGCUAAGAGGAUAAAAACAUUAAGAUUUGCAUGGAGAUGAGUUGAAUAUAAGAUGUACCAACAAGAAAAUUCUAUAUCGGUUGUACAAAUAUAUAUGAUUGGCAACCUAAACAAGGCGUGCAUGAUAUACGGUAACCUGCGACUCUUGACACCUUCACUUUAACUAUUCAAUUGGUCUUUGGCUCUACCUCCAACCCCGUUGUAUUCUGCUGCUUUUUGCUUGCUUUUCUCGAUCAAGCAUUCCUGUGCUUGGCAAAGAGGUGCUGCUGUUAGUAAAGCAAGUUAGUUUUGCUCAGUACUAGGUUGAUCAAAAUAAAUUCCAAAAGCCUUAAUUAGAUUGUAAAAGUUAAAGAGCAUCAUGCAAGGAGGUGGAGUAAGCUAAUCUACAUAUAGCCAUUCCACAAAAUGGUGGUAAUGAAUCGGGUUAGGUUAGGUUAUUUAUGCUUGUUUUUAUUAUACUGUAUUAUGAAAUCUUUAUUUUGGAAUAUCUGUUAUUUUUCCUAAAUGAUGUAUUGGUAUGAAAAACUUAUGCUUGAUCCAAUAAGAUAGGAAAAGAUUUACUUAUUGAGCUGUGUCACUCAUAUACCUCUUUUUAUUUUUUUCUCUCCAGGUAAAUAGAAUCAGUAGGGACGAAGAAUAGUACAGGCUUGGAGUUCGCGCUAGCAAGCUUGGCAAUUUUGUAGUAGAAUUUUAGUAUUGACUAUAAAUUUGUAGCUAAUGAUUUUCUGAAUGUUAAGGAUGAUGGAUUUGGUAUUAAUGUUGGAUUUAGACGCUCUAAGCCAAUAUUGGUUUUAUUUAAUGGAUGAUAAAAUAGAUAUUUAACUGUUAUAUUUUAUUGUAAUGGAUUUGAAAGUUAAAAGUAAUGUUGGCUUCGUGUUCUCGUGGGCUAUACCCCUCAGUAGCACAGCCAUGUCAUGUUCCGGAUCUGGGGCGUAAUAGUAGAGAUCUGUUGAUGCUUAUGGCUUGGUCGGUUGCCGGGUUAGGUGAUGGUAUGUUUGUAUUUUCUUGUUGUUGGAUUUGCUGCUUGUUUAAUGAGCUGAAUGAAAUCAGCCGGGUAAGGAGCAAACAGCUAUUAUUGAAAUCUGAAAGUAAUCCUCAAUUAGUAGCUGAAAGUACACCUCCUUGCUCCCUAGUUUGGUAUGGCUGUUUUUCUCAAUUGUGGUUUGCUCCAAAGAAUGGUUGAGAGGCUGCAGCUGGGCUGGGUCAAGUGGGUAUGGGGCUCUUUAGAUUGGGUUGGGAUGUAUGCUGGCUGGGUGACCACCCCAACUGGGUGUAAAUUUGAUUCAUGAUUGUUGUCUCUUGGAGCGUGAGGGGGUCUGGUGCAGCUGAGAGACGGGGAGUUAUUAGGGAGUGUCUCUCCUCAUCGGCUUAUGAUAUCAUUCUCCUACAGAUAUUUAAGGUGGCGGACGGCAGUGCUGGUGGUAUUCUUAUAUUGGGACACUACUUGUGAGGACUCAUGCGAGUGUAUAUUUAGUUCGACAUCGGUUAUUCGCGGAAUAAAUCUUGGAUACUUUUACAGAGUUAAAGAAUCCAAAUAAUACCUUCCGGCUAGCCAUUUUGGAUGAGAUCCUGGAUUGUUACAAAUAGUAUUAGAGCGGACCCGGCACACGGAGAGUAUGCGAGGACCCACCAAAUACGUGGAGGAUCGAAAGAUAGCACUAGAUUCUUGGACUUUAUUUCCGCCCUUGACUUAUUAGAUCUUGAUCCCAAAGGUCGAUGUUUCACUUGGGACUUGGGAGUGACACGAGCGAGCACCCCCUUCCAUUGCUAGAUUUGGUCGGUUUCUUCUCUUUGCUGAUUGGGAAGACUUAUCCCCUGCUAAAAUCCAAUCUGCCCUUAUCAGUGCAGCCUCUGACCAUGCUCCGACCGCCCUGGAUUGCAAAGUCAAAGUUCGAGCUUCCAAAGAUUGCAGAUUUGAAUCUUGGUGGAUCGAAGUGCACAAUCUUGAAGGAUAUGUGGUCAGUAAUUGGAGUAGCAGGGUGCCCCAACUCAGCAACAGACUGGGUAGACAAUUUGAGAAGACUCAGAACUGCUCCUAGAAAGUGGUCCGUUUCAUAAGAGAUGCAAGUAGAGACUUGAAAAGAAAAAUUGCUGCAUGACAUCGACAGACAUUCUUGUUAGGAAGGAGGAACAGAUUGAUCGUUCACCGUCUACAUUUGAUCCUUCAUCGAUAUUUGGAGGAAAUUUAUCUCAAAGAUGAGAUUUCCAGGAGGCAGAGAGCAAAAAUACUUCCCUUUUUUUCAUAAAGUGGCUUCUGAAAGGAAAAGGAGGAAUCCUAAUUGUUUCACUCAUGAAUGAUCUGGAAUGGAAAUCUUUUAGGACAAGCGGUUUAUAAUGUUGGAAGUCUUUAAAUAAAGCUGACAAAAUUAUUAUAGAUAUGAAUCGAGUUGAUCAUGUCAAAGUGAUAUUGUGGUCAAAAGAUCAUAGUGCUAUACUAGGCAAGAAGAAAAGCAGGUUAAACAUUAGAAUGGACCACCCAAAUUACCAACAUCAUUCCAUUACAGAUACAGUGAAAUCAUUGCCCUUAAACCUCCAGGCGCCCCCCCAUGUCAAAACCCUUCCCCCCAUGGCCCAAAAGACGAGUUGCAAACAGUUACAACCACUGGAAAAGGACAGAGACCUGCUCCAUUUUAAAGAUCUCAUGCACCACUAAUCUCAACUACAAACAGCUAAUAAAACCACCUACCUCCUUCAUCUUCCAGUCCUACUUGCUUUCACUCCCUGUUUCUUCAUCAACAACUCUUAAACAUGCUGCUACCAUGAUAGCAGAGGUUUAAGAAUCGGUCCAAGCAGCAAACACCGGCAUGUGAGACAUCGGCAUUGUCGUCCUUAGCCCGGUCGAUGGAAUCCAUGAAUUAACUGGUGUGGAAUUAACGAGCCUUGGUGAGGGCUUGGCAAAGAGCAUGCAGAGACCACCUCGAUCAGGACUCCCUUCCCUGGAGUUGCUCGAGCUAGUCACCAAUGAUGAUGCAUUUGAUAGAUGAGCAUUCCCCAAAUUCCCAGAAUUAUCGAUCCCCUGCGCCGAACCCACUGUGUCCAUGCCAACCAGACCAUGAAGACUGGUUGAGUAGGAUGGGCUUCGAAAUGCAUCACCACCUGGUAUCAGUUGCCCACCAUGUUCUUCUGAGAUCGGUGAUGUUUGAUGAGGGGAUUGAUAGAGUGACAUCUUCCAAUCAGAACCACCACUGCUGUUGUCUUCAGUCAAAUUAAGCUCUCUGCUGCUGUUUUGGACCGAAGGAGCAUCGUCGCGAGCUUCUGCAUCUUUGUUUUUCCUGGCAAGUUCGCCGGAAAGCAGAGUGCUGCUCGCCAUGAUCUUUUCGACAUCGUAUCUUGUUAUGUCGAAGUUGGUGACGGCAUUCACUCCUCGGAAUUUAAUUGCAGCAAUGUCAUAAGCCUCAGCUGCUUCCUCUUGAGUACCUGAGAGUUGAUCUCGCUUUAUGUGAACGAAGGGCGCUAAAUAAACAAGACUCAUCUAAACAAAUACGCUAUAACAUGGCCAUCAUUUUGAAAGGUGAACUUUAAAAAGUUGAAUUCACACAGGUCGUCGGAGAUACGAGUGCGUUUCUUUUUGCGUUCACUGUUCCAGGCCUAUAAGACGGUCAAACGAGAGCUUUGCAGCUACUGAGAUAUCAGCCUUAUGAAAAGAAUGACUAGGGUUUUAAAAACAAAAGUCUAGCUUGGAAAAAAAAAGCAUGCAUUGCCAGUAACCACAUUCUUCGACAGGACCUCUGAAAUUUCAGUAUCUUAGAUUGGGUGCAGCAUAGCGGUUGGACUUCUAACCUCAUAACAAACUCGGAAGGAUGUGAGUGGUCACACUUUGAUGAUAGAAGCAUGCAUGCAAAACAAAGCAUCAAGUGGUUAAGUGAACCUCAAAAACUUACUGAAGGUUCCAAGAUAAAGAUCUUUGUUUCCUGAAACCCUCCCAAUUCGAGCUUGCCAUCUUCCAUGCUGGUGGUGCCUGGAGAUGAAUAGAAGCAGCAAGUGUAUAAAAAAUUCUUGAACAAAUAAGAAAAUGAUGUCGUUUAAUCAUGAAUAGCAGCAAGACUAACCUCGUCACGCCUCGGUACAUAGAAGCUCCUCGUGAGAACCCACUACUUUUCUUCUCAAAUGAGCAACAUAUUCUUGUCGACUCAUGUUCUUCAUUUCCUCGAGUUCUUGUUGAUAAUCUUCCAACGGGAAGUUGAUAUGUGUGGAAGGUCCCCAGUAUUUGAGGGCAGCCAAGUCAUAGGCUCUUGCAGCUUUCUCUUCCAUGUCAUAAGUAAACUUGUCUUCCUUUCCUUGUUUGGCCUUCCUUCUUGCAACUAUUGUCCCACAGAUGGGCUUCAUACCUACCAGUCCACCUAUGCCUUGUGACACCUCUAUACUGAGAUGUUCUCUGGCCAAAUGUAUCGAUGGAUUUCCUAUGAACUGGCUGCUUUUGGCCCCCCUUCCCAGUCCCUCUCUUCUUACUUCCAUCUAAAGCCAUGUAGUCGUUUGCAGGAGGAGGGAUAUGCUGGGGAGCUGUGACACAACUGGACUGUGAACCAGGGCUCAUGGACAAGCUCAAAGACUGCAAGUCCCCAUACCCCAUUGCACCAAGAGGACCACCAGAUCCCACACCCCCUUCCUCACCCAGCCCGUUGUUGCCAGCGCUGAAGCUCCUGGUGACCCAGUUCUUCAAUCCCGGAAUCCCACCACCUCCCAUUUGUUCCUCUUCCAGUGGUGGUUGAUACAUCUCAUGGCCUGUGAGCACAGAGCACAUCCCUUCCUGCAAUGGCUGGAAGUAAGGAGGAGGGGGCUGCUGCUGCUGCUGUUGGACUUGAAGGUGCUGCCUAUAGGGUUGUUGGAGGAGGUCUAGAGGAUGACCUCUGUUGCCCUCAGACUCUGGGUUUUGAUGGUAGUACAUGCUGUCUAAGCUUAAAGCCAUUGCUCCCCUGUCACUGUUCCCAUACUGAUGGGUCCCCAUGUUUGGACCACAGCCUAAGAAGUCUUCCAGUUUUGGGAAUGGAGAUGGCACCAUUCCUUCACCACAUUGAAUGAAAAUGGAAAAGAAUAUGGCAAAGUGUUUUAGAGACAGCUGCUUGUUUGAAAGCUGGGAGCAGAAGCUAAACAAAGAAAGGAAGCAAUGAGACAAACCUUCUUGCUGUGAUCUGCUGAGUGCUUCCAUGAUGCAAAGAGAGCCAUCAGACUUGAGUGGCAUGGAAGAUAGCUGAGAAUAGAAUCCUCCGUUCUCUCCAACGCCAUAACAAAUGCCGGAGCUGCUCAAGUGAGGAGGAGAGAGGAAGAAGUUGCCAGAAGAGACGGCAGCAGGUGCGGGCUGAGAUUGGUGAUGAUGGCUCUGACUAUUUGGCUGCUGGUGUGGGUCAGCAGACACCUCCAUGCUCAUGUGGGGGGAGAGAGAAAAUCCCAACCAGUUAUUAUUGUUCAUGGACUUCAUCUUCCUCCCUCACACUACAAAGAAGAUUGUAGCAAGACCCAAGGCGAGGCAGCUCAAUCAUUGGAGAGUACACACUCUAAUCAUACCCAUCCCUUCUUGAUUUCCACCAUUUGAGGCUUGGGGUUUUGUGUUCAAACCCCAGUGAGCUCCAUGGUGGAAAUCUGUAUGAAUAUCUGUGUAUUUUUCCUAUGCCUCACAACUCACUGUGGAGGAGCAUGGCAAAACCAUUGUGGAGAACACUAGUAGUCCCUUUAAACCAAGCAAAAGGAAUGAGUUCCCACCAAACAAAUGCUGGUUAAAUUCCCCACCCCCCUGCACUCCAUAGGGAUCUGUGUUCUGAGAAAGACGAUGUCUUUAGCUUUUCUUUCUCUUCGGCACUCCCUGCCCUUUUCUUAAGCCCCUUAAACCCAACAAAAACCCUCCGUUGAGAAGGCUCAUAGGCCGGACAAGGUUGAACCCACAAUGGGGUCUUGGCGUGCCUUAUGCCCAGAUGGAAAACCUUGGAAAACACAUAUAUAAUGAAUGGAGCCUUUUCCUUCUCCGCCUUUGCUGACUAGGGGUUCGUUGCCUCUCCUUCUCUGCCUCCUCAUGCCUGCCAUCAAGAGGUGGCUGGUGGCCUGUUGGCCAAAACAGGGUGGCUUUUUUUUCAGUCUCAUGGCCAUGAGAUAGAUUCGAGAAACACUGUCCAACUAGUCACUUCGCAACAGUUCUAGCUGUGUACUAGCCUGUGCUGCCACUGAAGGAUCUAAUGAAAAAAAAAAACGUUUUCCGAUUCAACUUAUGCCAAUUUAAAAUCUUUCCUUCAUAAAAAAUUCUAAAGCAAACACAAAAGAGAGGAAAAAAAGAUAAAGAUAGAAGAAGAAAGAGAAGGAAGGAGACUGUAUUAAUGACUUUGAUAUUGAUAUUUCAUAAUAAAGCAAUACGGAUAUAAUAGGUACAAUGGCGAAAAGGAGCAGAGAAGCUGUUUUUGCUAAAUAUCACAUGUGUACAGGUGACAACUGCAUGCUUCCCUUCAAGGUUCUGAAAGUAGUCAACAACUGCUUCCAGACAAAAAGUGCAAUGUGGGUCAAUAGGAUGUGCUUCAUAUAUUCCAUGAAUGAUGUGGGAGGAGGGCUAAAGAAUAUUGGAAACGCUCUUGCUAUUUCAGAGUCUCAGUAUAAUUAUAUUGUCGUGCUGUCUUGUGUUAUGUAAAAGAUACAACUUCCACUAAAUGAUUGGUAAAACAGUAUCAUUCGAAGCCCAUGAGCAAAUCAUAAUUAUGAAUAUCAAGUUUCUUAACAAGAUCUGGCACAGCACCACUGUUUUGUUUUAAAACAAAAAAAAAAAAUCUUUUGGAUAUAAUGGUACAGAAGUGGAAUCCAUGCAGUGCGAUAGCAAGGAGCCCCUUUCAGCCUCUUUUAGACCUUGGGUCCUCGAACUAUUUUAUGGUGUCAAUAUUAUAACGGCUAGUGGUCCAUAUAAAAUGUCUUCUAAAGUCAUAUGUGGUGCAUGGGAAUGUGCAUGGUCAUCCCAAGACAAAGUCUCUUGAAGAAAAUGAUUUGGUUUCAGAAAGUAUAGGUGGGAAUGAAGGGGACUCAGGUACAGCAUCAAAAACAACUACUACGUAUCUUCCCAAUCCUCUCUCCCUUUUUUUUUUUCUUUUCGAUUACUGUAAUGAUGAUUGAAUCCAACAACUACACACCAGUCCAACACUUUUGCUUGGAGUGAUGCCUCCUGAGCUAGGAGCUAUGCCUCAUCACAUUCUACUCCUACCUAUCCCUUCUUUCGCUUUCACAGCUCCUCAGAAGUCCCUUUCAAAGAGGCAGAAAUGGUGGCAUAGGUUUGAUGCUUGCUGUCACCCUUCUCCAUCUUCAUUGAAUCUUGAUUUUCUCUUGCAUCAUUAGCCAUGUCGCGGAAGUACAAAACAACGCAGUUGGUGAGAGAAAAGAGGACGCAUGCCAUACAAUUGAGCCCUUUGGACUGUAGCUCUAUGGACCAGGUAAUUAAUCUUGCCAAAUACUUGCUGGAGUCCAACUUGGAAGAUGGACUACCCCACAAAUACAAUUAAAGCACCCAAAUCCGACAGCAGGCCGGAGCUCAUGCAGUCCGAGUCGAGCUCAUGCAAACCGAGCUUAGAAAGCCGAGCUGAGCUCAUGCAGGCCGAGCUGACCUCAAAAGGCCGAGCUCGUCGUCCACGUGCUGCGGCCACACCUUGUAACAGUCUCACCGCACCAUGCUUUGCUUGCCGGUCAUGCCACGACAUAUCAAUCAGGGACCAUACCCUGCUGCGACUGUCAACCAUUAAAUGAGCAUGGUCUCUGCAGUCCUCCAGCCAGCCCAAAAUCUCAAGCCAUCCACGGCAACUCACUGACUCACUCAACUACGUCUGGUCGCCCACAACAACUCAUUGAUUCAUUCAACCCAGUCCAGCCCUCCACGGCAACGCAUUAAUUCACACGAUCACACCCAAUUAUGACGGUAACUCAUUAAUUCGCCCAGUCACAUCACAAGUAACUCUGUAUCCCUCCUAUAAAAGAGAACUUCUUUCUCUGGAGAGGGAGACUUCUCUUAACUCUGAUUUUCUGGCUUGGACUGCUACAUACGAACUAUCUCUCCUUCUCUACAAAAGCCUCCUCUGACUUAAACAUUGGAGGGCCGGUGCCGGAAAGCCCGGCCACCAACGUUUUGCAGGUCCCCCAAAGGACGCAGCCUGCCGACGUACCAUCCGCACCGGAGCUCCUCCUUCUUAGCUAAUGGUCACCCCUGGGUCCAAUUUCCAAUAACACAACUAAAUAUAUGCAAAGCAAUAUAUGAAACAUGUCACAUAUUGUGACAAAGUGAUAAGGAUGAAAAUCGGCAAAGUUCAAAAGGCCAUAUUUCUACACAUCCUCACUUCUUUGAAAAAAAAACAAACAAAUGGUCUAAGUUGGGGCACACUAGCAACGAAGAUGUUCAGGCAAUGUGUUUAAGCUAUCAUGUCUUAAUAUAUCCAACACUUAAUAAUCAAAGAACCCAUUUCUUCUAAGCAUAUGGGACUGGUAUAUUAGAUACUUCAUGGUAAUGGGAGGAGUCUAACUAGGAACACUAAGUAUGCCUCUUUUUAUUUUUACUUCAUUAUUAUUAUUAUAAUAUUAUCCAUCUUUUAGAAAGAUUGGAUGUAUAAUUUAGGUGUAAAGAUUUCACACUUGCAAGUCAAAUGCUGUGCAACGCACAGUGCCCUCUCUGUCGUACAAUUCUUGGGGGGGGCCCGUGGGGUGCGCCGGUCGGUGGGUGGAAGAUCUUGAAGCGGUGGAACUAGACCUCUGCUUGGGCAAAAAAAAAAAAAAAAACUAAGGCCUCUCCCUUGGAGUGAUCAGGAAAAAGAAGACACAAUUCAUUUAUGAACUGUUGAUGGUAUUUGGUACCAUCGAUCUCUUUUUUUUUUAUUGAAGUACCGUCUGUCUCUUUAAAUGUCCCAGCCAGCUCUCGCAAAAACUUGCAGUAUUAUCGAUUGGAUCCAAAAAUAAUAUAUAUGACAACUAAUGUGUCACAUCCUAAAUUUGAUAUAUGGUACGAUUGUGCUAUUAUAGAAUAUCAGUAUAAGAAAAAAAUAUUACGCACUUUGACCUCGGACAAGACCGACCUCGAUGAUCUUAGAUCAGACCAAUGUCGACAACCUCGGUAUAAACUGAAGCAGUUACUACGGCCCCAGCCGAGGAGCCAACCGACCGAGAUGAAUAGCUCCGUCUUCAACCAAGGAACCAAUCAACACGUGCCAACAAAAUAGUCUUGACAAUCAAAUCGUUAUGAUAGCGACUGGUCGUUGUAACAGCUCUGCAUCUGGAGCAUAGUCAGUACCGUACGCCACCCAUGUCGAGAUCGUACUACUAGCUGCCACCUGAUUAUUGGUGCACGCGACUCAGGAAACAACAAAAUCAACUCCCCUAUAAAGGUCAGUCUGGGGGAUCUCAAGUACGCAAAAACACACACACCCUCGAAAGUAUCAUGAUCCUCUCAUGCAUGUAGCCGACCUCGAGGGCAUGCUGAAAAGAAGAAUGGUUAGUUUCCGAGGUAAGCGACUUAAUGAAGAUUUAUAAGUCAUAAGCUUAUCCAGAUAACCGAGGCGAAGGCCUUGCUGAAAAACUCGACGAAGUUAAGGGAACGUACGACCUCCUUGUCGGCCCGAAGCUGCAAGGCUCGGACCAACUCCCUCGCCACCUCAGGAGACUCCAGAGCCGAGUCGGACUCUUGGUCGACCAUUCUAUGAAGUAAGUCCCAAAGACGUGGGCCGGAACUGAGGGGCCCUCUUCGGCUGGAGCGGACGGGCUUGGACCAGACUGAGCCGACACAUGGGCCUUAGGGGAUGAUCAGCGUGGAGGCGUGGUGGCGGUGAAGGGUUAUAUGAAGACAAGCCCCUCAAGAGGGGCUGACUUAAUCAGCUUUACAAACUUGACCUUGGGGUUGAGCUCCAUAGUCUCUCCCCGAGGUACGAGCACCUUGAGGGAGACUUCAAAAAUCGAAGCCUCGGUGGCAGCCUCGGUGGCAACCUCGGUGGUAGCUUCGGUUUCAAGGGCGAGAAGGACUCCCCCCUCAACCUUUUCCUCUGGAGGGUCUUGUCCUCGGCAACCACAGCCAACCUCUUCUUCAUUUUUCUCCUCGGACGGAUCAAUGUGAGAUCGGUCUUCAUGGCAGCGAGAGCUGCAAAAUCGAAGACAAGGUUAGAAGAGAAUGUAAUGAGAUAGAAAGAUAGAAAAAGUUCAAAAGAAGCUUACCUUGAGGGUCAGCUGGGCUCAGACUAGCGUUGAUCUGCACCUCCUCAGACAACAACUCCUGCAGGGUAGGAAUCUUAGAUCAAGAUUGUAGAAGCUCAUCCAAGGUCCCUCGAUUAUCACCAGACAACCUCGGGGCCGAUUCAAGUCUCUCCGAAGUGUCUUACAUAUGGUCUUAAACCCCCAUGGUUGCUCAGAGGAAAUAAAGAAAAGUCUCCCUUUUUCCAUCCGUGGAUGGAUCGAGUACCUUAGAGUCUUUCCAAGGAGAAAAAUACCACUAGUUGUUGUCCUGAGGAUGCCUCUUCAAAGUGAAGCAUCCUUGAAAGAUAGAAAUCGAGGAUCGAAUGUUCCAAAAAAAGCAAAGAGAAAGAAAGCCAACUAGAACCCGCCAGGAGUUCAGGACCAAUUGGGUCGGGAUGAGGCUGUAAUACCUCAUCAGCUAGACAAAAAAGGGGUAGAGAGAGAGUUUCAACAUGGCCCUCAGAGUCUCCUCAUAUAGGCCGAGCCAAGAAGGAUGAGGGUUGGUCACCCGAUCAUUGGGACCGGCGAGCUCAAAGGUGAACUCGGAGAGGGGGGGGGUAUGAAAUGCUGAGCUCGAAUGAGGUUCAUUUUUUCUUUGGUAAGAAUGGAUAUCUCAUAAUUCGGACUUGACCGGACCUCGGGCUCAGCCUCACCCAGAGGCGAUGGCUGCUGAACCCGAGAAGAGUAGUCGGACGACCAACUCUCCUUCGGGGCGUUAACCUUGGAUCCACUCAUGGUAGAAAUCAUAGAGAAACAAAGAAACAAAAGAGGAAAGCAAAGAAAGGGACAAAGACAAGGGGGAACAAGAAAAGGGGGCCGAGUAGCAAGGGAACAGGUACCCACCGAAAAUGGAGGAGCAUAGAGGAUGUCGGUGCUGGAGAAAUGGAGAUUAGUUGAAGCACCACCCAAAAGCCUAGACACUUGAGCACUUCGGCAAAGGAGCAAAUGAAGCAAGAAGUAUAAAUUGUAAGAGGGGACCACCUUUAUAUAGAGGGGUACGGUGCGGGCGAUUUACCGGGAUCAUUGCAUUAAUGAUGCCUCAAAAUAGCCCUGCAUUAAUGGUGCACAGGACAGUCCGUAUUUGGGGACACUUCAAGAAUACCAAGCGAUACAUUUAUUACUCCCUAACAAGAGCCGUAUCCUCAAUUGAGGUGACGACUUGACUUCCAUCGCCGAAACUAGAAUAUAACUCAGCCUCAAAAGUAGGGGGCAAGUGAAAGGAAAAAAAUUAGACACUUCGAUCUUGGACCACACCAACCUCGGUAUAAACCGAGACAGACAACUUCGACCCCAAUCGAGGAGCAAACCGACUGAGGUGAGCAGCUUCGCCUCCAACCAAGGAAUCGAUCAACACGUGCCGACAAGGACUGACACUCCUGGCAAUCGGCCGUCGUGACAACGACUGGCGAUUUCAAAAGCUCUACAUCCAAUGCGCGGUCAGUACCGUACGCCGCCCAUGCGAAGGUCGUACUACUGGCCUCUACCUGACCAUUGGUGCACGCCAACCCAAGUAACGACAAAACUAAUUUUCCUAUAUAAAGGGGCAGUUUGAGGGGCCUCAAAUACGCAAGAGCACGCAUUAUGCGAUAUCAUAACCACACUUUACUGAAAUUUUCUCCCUUCUAUAUUGUUGUCUCCGUAUUCUUAGGCAUUGGAGAAUCUCCCGCCGAAAACUCUCUUGCAAGAGAACUUGCUGCAGGCCGACCUCAGAGGAAACCAGUGCCUGAUACCUCAACCAACCUGCUCAACUCAUCUCUAGCCAAUCUCAAGGUCAUCCAAGCUACACUCCGACCUCGGUCUAGAUUUUACGGCAACACCGCCCAUGAUAUCAUGAAAUCAAAAUUUUGUAUAAAAAUCCAUAUCAUAUAAAAUAAACAAAAAAUCAAAAAUUGUCAUCCAUUAAAUAAUUAAAUAAAUACUGAUCUAGACUUAAGUUUGUACUGGCAAGUUUAGAGAUUUACUGUAUUUCUUUUUACAUAAACAUGAUAUGGGGCUCACAAUAGAUGAAAUUUCAUAAGAGCAAUGAAAAAUAUAGUUAUAUAAAAAAAGUCAAAUAUUGCAUGAACGGGUUUGAUUAGCAUUUAAUUUCCACCAGCUUUUAGCUUUGUUGAUUAUUGCUAGAGCAGGGGGAUCAUGCAAAAGUUGGUCAUAGAAUAGCAUGAGAUGUUUUUAGCUUCCUUUCAUUCUUGUAAAUUUUUAAGUUAACUAUUGUUUUAUAAAAAUUAUUUGUUUGUCUCAACUCUUUUAACAAAUCCUUCUACCUAGAAAACAUUGAUUGAUGCAAAAUUAGAUCUACAACAAAUUAUUUCUUUGAUACAUAUACUAAAAUAUCCCUUCAAAAUGUGUGACUUAUCAUGAAGGAGAGAAACGAAAGAUCUACGUCAACAAAGGGUGAAAAAUCGUUGAUUAGUUUAUAAAAAUUUAAACAUUGAAAAAAAAUUAACAAAAUAUAUAUUUCCAAAUAUCCAACAUGUAUCACUUUCGAAUUUGCAUAUAUGCAUCAAGCAUACUAAGUGCUAUCAUAAAUUAAUUCUACGACACGUCGCAAGCUCAACAUCAAAUCUAAUUAUCGUAACUUCAAUCCAACUGAACCCUAUUUCAUAUCGAGCCAACCAUACCAACAAAUUGCAUUUAACCUAUUUCUUAAGUAAUAUAGUGAUACAUGCAUCAUCACCAAGAUUUAAAUCAUAGAUCUUCUCCAAUAAAACUUUGGUGUCAACCGAUUGAGCUAACAUCUGAGCCAAAUUCAUUCAGCAUACUAAGAUGAUCAACCAUUCAGGAUCAGUCAAACGAGUCAAAACUCGUCCCUUCCUAACCAACACCAAUUAGCCGCCCCUCACAACUUCUUAUCCAACCCAAACCUUUUCGCAAAGAACCAGUCUCGGACCCAAGCCGGCGACCAAGCCAGCACCGCAAACAGGCCCGUCAUGUGGCCGAACGCGAUCUCCCUCGGCGGCCUCGGGCUCAGCACUUUCCGCGCCACGUGCCGCGCGAAGAUUCCCGCAUCCGUCGCCUUCGUCCCCUGCGACGCCCUUGCCCUCUCUGCGAUCGCGGCCUCGAAGCCCUUGUAAAGCCUCCACUCCUGCCUCCCGAGCCGCUCCUCGUUCGCCCGGCCCAGGUUGGACCGGACCGAACCGGGACGCACCUUUACGACAUGAACCCCGAACGGUCGGAGCUCAACCCGGAGCGCGUCGGACACCGCGUGGACCGCGGCCUUGGACGCGCAGUACGAACCGGCCCACGGGGUCGGGACCGAACCGACCACGCUCCCCAUGUUAACGAUCCGGCCGGACCGGCGGGAGGACAUGUGAGGGGCCACGGCCUGGACCAUACGUAGCUGGCCUAACGUGUUCACCUCCCAUGCACGUCUAAUGGCGUCCAGGUUGAGCUCGGCCAACGGCCCCGUGCCGCCGACGCCGGCGUUGUUGACGAGGACGUCGAUGCGGCCGCACGCCGAUAGAAUUUUGGAUGUCGCAUGGGCGGCGCUUUGGUCGGAGGUGACGUCGAGCUCGAGGGGUUCGAUGGAGUCGGAUUGGAGGUCGGCGAGCUCGGAGAGGCGGCCGGGGAGGUCAGAGGCGAAGACGUAGCAGCCAUGGUCGGCGAAGGCCUUGCAGUAUUCGUAGCCGAUGCCGCCCUUGGCGCAGCCGGUGAUCAGGACUACCUUCUUGUUGUCAUCCAUCCUUGGUAGGUCGAAGGAGCAUUCAGAGUGUUGGUGAAUUUAUAUGGAAGGGUGAACAUAGAAGUCAGUGGGAGAUCCGCCAAGUUAUAAAUACUAUUGUAAUCUUAGGUUCAUAAUUUACGGGAUGAUGCUGAGAAUAUGCGCGAGGAGAUGCUGAAAUUUCUUGUCACAGAUAUGCUAACCAGCCGGCUAGGGUCUUGUUUGCUUCCUUUGCGUUAGGUAUCAUGGAGUUGGGCAAAAAUAUUUGCUUCGAGUGUGUCACCUAAUCCUACUUGUUGCGACCAUCUGCCAUGUCUUAUGUAGCAUCGGAUCGUCUACUGACCUUGCUUAUAUAAUAUCAACGAAUUUCUCCAAAGUUCACCAUCUUACUGAACCUCAUAUCGGUCCCACUCUAUUAUAAAGUUGGUACGUCUGUUAUACCAUCUAGCUCAGUGUAUCGAGUGUUGAAACACUACACAUACUAUGUAAAUGUUCAGUACUGAUACGACGUAGCAGAUAUUGGAUAUCUCUGUCUCUCUCUCAGCAUACACGCAAGCACAAGCGCCCCAUGAUAAAUUUAUAUAUGAAGGCAUGAUUCUUCUUGUUCUCAGAUCAGUAGAAGCAGCAGUAUAACUUAUGUGGAAUAUUGGACACUCAAAUCACUUGAAUUCCAAUGAGUCAACCAGCAAUUCAACAUGAACACACAUUUUUUCAGCAAAAAGUAAAUGCUAGAAAUCCAAACAUAUAUAAUAUCAACGUACACAGAGAUUACAGACUAAAACUUCUCGGCUAAACAAUUACCUAUAAUCGUCGUUGGCAGAAAUGAAAAGUUACACAAGGCAAAGAUGAUAAAACAAAACAUAAAAGGGGAAGGAGAGAGAACAAACAACACUCCAAAGUCGAAUAAGAAGUACUCAUUAAUCUAUAUCUCUCCUCAAGGUGGGGGACCUCAUGUUGUAUGUGAAGUGAGCAAAUUAUUAGAAUGUGCCCUACCUGCGCCAUUUCUUAAUUGAAUAUUAAUGUUUUGAUAAAUCCAAUAUUAAUGGUACUUAAUGGUAGUUAUUAUCCUUUAAAAAAGUGAAUAAUAGGCAAUAGCAACUUAACAAAAUCGUGGUUGACAUGGUAAUAAUAUUUCUUUGGAUUCGCAAUUAUAAGUAUUUGUAACAGAUAUUAAAUUUUUGAUAUGGUACGUUUGUCAAAUGACAGUCACUACUUUUAUUAUUACAUNNNNNNNNNNNNNNNNNNNNNNNNNNNNNNNNNNNNNNNNNNNNNNNNNNNNNNNNNNNNNNNNNNNNNNNNNNNNNNNNNNNNNNNNNNNNNNNNNNNNNNNNNNNNNNNNNNNNNNNNNNNNNNNNNNNNNNNNNNNNNNNNNNNNNNNNNNNNNNNNNNNNNNNNNNNNNNNNNNNNNNNNNNNNNNNNNNNNNNNNNNNNNNNNNNNNNNNNNNNNNNNNNNNNNNNNNNNNNNNNNNNNNNNNNNNNNNNNNNNNNNNNNNNNNNNNNNNNNNNNNNNNNNNNNNNNNNNNNNNNNNNNNNNNNNNNNNNNNNNNNNNNNNNNNNNNNNNNNNNNNNNNNNNNNNNNNNNNNNNNNNNNNNNNNNNNNNNNNNNNNNNNNNNNNNNNNNNNNNNNNNNNNNNNNNNNNNNNNNNNNNNNNNNNNNNNNNNNNNNNNNNNNNNNNNNNNNNNNNNNNNNNNNNNNNNNNNNNNNNNNNNNNNNNNNNNNNNNNNNNNNNNNNNNNNNNNNNNNNNNNNNNNNNNNNNNNNNNNNNNNNNNNNNNNNNNNNNNNNNNNNNNNNNNNNNNNNNNNNNNNNNNNNNNNNNNNNNNNNNNNNNNNNNNNNNNNNNNNNNNNNNNNNNNNNNNNNNNNNNNNNNNNNNNNNNNNNNNNNNNNNNNNNNNNNNNNNNNNNNNNNNNNNNNNNNNNNNNNNNNNNNNNNNNNNNNNNNNNNNNNNNNNNNNNNNNNNNNNNNNNNNNNNNNNNNNNNNNNNNNNNNNNNNNNNNNNNNNNNNNNNNNNNNNNNNNNNNNNNNNNNNNNNNNNNNNNNNNNNNNNNNNNNNNNNNNNNNNNNNNNNNNNNNNNNNNNNNNNNNNNNNNNNNNNNNNNNNNNNNNNNNNNNNNNNNNNNNNNNNNNNNNNNNNNNNNNNNNNNNNNNNNNNNNNNNNNNNNNNNNNNNNNNNNNNNNNNNNNNNNNNNNNNNNNNNNNNNNNNNNNNNNNNNNNNNNNNNNNNNNNNNNNNNNNNNNNNNNNNNNNNNNNNNNNNNNNNNNNNNNNNNNNNNNNNNNNNNNNNNNNNNNNNCCAUGUUCAGAACCGAAAUAGAGGCAAAGGGAAGGAGGAUGCAGAAAGAUUUUCAAAUAUGUUGACAAAAAAGCACUUCAAGUUCCAAAGUUUGAUCUCAUGCUUUUGUUAGGUCCAAGGGUUAGAUAUGUUUUAUGUGGAUGAAGUCUUAAAGAUCAACAUGACCAUUAUAUAGAGGUAAAGCAGCAUGGAACCUAAAAUUUGUGGUCGCAUGCUCAGCGAGGUAGGAGCACGAGCCAUGGAGCACCAUAAAUAAGAAGUUAAGAACUGCAUGGUUGCUUGAGCAUUAGAGAAACACAUUAGUUGCUGCAUUAAUUCUAAACUGCUAUUGAGACAGAUACAAUCGUUAAGUACUAGAUAUUGGACACAUGCAAUGCACUAUAAAUUAGAGAGAGAACACUGAGAGCAGUGUCUGGACAACUGUUAUAAGACAGACAAUAUUGUUAGAAGAGAGCAAAAGAUCCAUUCAAAAUUCGAAAUCUUUUAGGUGCAAUGUAAAACUUGAAAAGAAAGCAAGUUUCCUUGUUGCGAAAAAAGAAAACAGUCUUAAUCUAAUGAAGAAUCAAGAUGUUAUAUUACAUCUCUUGUUCUCCUUAUAUAACUCAUUAUAAUGGAAUAGCAAUCAUAUAACAAUAUCAUCUAAAUUCUUGUUAUUAAUAUAGAUCAUGCAAUGAGAGGCCUUUGAGUGUUACUGGCGGUCGUUGCAGCCUUAUGAUAGCCAUAAUUUUAUAUCUCGGCCAGCAUGUUUAUGACAUGAUAACCUUCUUGUAAGAAAGUUAUAUGCUGAGGCGUCAAACCCCGCUCUCGAUACUGAUUUGAAAAAAAAGUGAAAUUUUUUUGAAAAAAAAAAUGACAUGAAUGAUCUAAAUUACUUUUUGGAAUGAGACAUAACUCACUCUUAGCCCUUCUGCUUUGACCAACCCUAAUUCCCACAGUGAACCCCUAAGAUAGCCGAGUAACCGUUCUAUAUACGAAGUGACAUGGUACAUGUAAGAGGAAAGGAUUAAAAGAGGAAAAGCAUAAGCCCCCGUUCCAUCCAAACUCCUGCCAAAUGUACAGUCCACAGUAAUAGUAGUGCAUUUAAAUGCUGGUUCCUGUCCUUCGCGGGGGAAUGAAUCACAGGAUCCAAACAAAAUCCAAGCAGGAUACCAAACAAAGAGUGCAAAGUGCCCAAAAGGAAAGGGAGCAAAGGACUUUUUUAGAUAGCAACUUAACAAGAGCUACAACAGCUUUGGUGAAAAUGGAAGCAUAUCAAAAGUCAAUGACGGGGAGAGAUAGAUAGAUAGAUAGAGAGAGAGAGAGAGAGANNNNNNNNNNNNNNNNNNNNAGAGAGAGAGAGAGAGGAGGCCAGAAGCUAGCUCACAUGACACUCCCACCUUCCUCCUACAUCCCAUAUUAAAGUCCCCAUUAAAGCUUCUUCUCCUCCCCUCUGCCUCCCCUGCCAAUUCCCCAUGUCUCUUUGUGCUUUACCUCCUUGGCCCCUCCCUCGAUUUGCCUCUAUUUAUGAGAGGUCAACAUCUAAGAGCAAUGUGCCAUAGUCCAAAUCAGCUUAGAUGCACUCCACGACAGCUUUAUCUUAAAAAAGAAAAAAAAAAAGAAAAUUAGACACUUUUGUUCACCUCAUAAUCCAGGCCUUGGUUCCCCUCUUGGGAGCUUUCCGGUGAUGUGUUAGGAAAAAGGGGGCAAGGUCGGAUCUAGGAAGAAGCGCACUAGAUCUCCAAACCAACAUGUAAGGUGGUGGUUGGGGUUAGAGGAGAAGGGUAGGAGUAGUAGACCCUAGCAAGAAGAGAGGCAUUAAAUAUCAGAUUACAAACAUAGCCAAGCCUAAGAACCUAAUUUUGGAAACCUCUACAUCAAUCUAUGGGUGGUGGGGUUCACCCCAAAGUUCAAUAAUGUGUGAGCUUCCACAUUCCCUCCGUUCCCCCUCUGUCGUUUGUGAUUAAAGAAGCAUGGGAAGAAAGAGACAACCUUCAAUGCAAAAGUUGGCUUUAGGGCACUGCUGCAAGGCUGAAAAGAACUUAUUUGCUUUCCACUUUUACUUUUCUAUUUACCUUGUCUCCAUUUGAAAUCAGAGGAGGGUCAUUUUGCUCGCUGCAAUGUGGCUUGCUUUGGGGGUAGGAGAUUAUUCUGGGUGGGAUGUUGUGUCACUGUUAAGUAGGGCCAUUCAGAUAUAUUUGCAGACUGAUCAUUUUCCACAUGGUUCUAAUGGAGGGAGGCUCUCAUCCUGUUCAUCUAGUUUGUUCUUUUUGACAAAUAUUGAAUAUAAAUAAUAUUUUUUUUUGCCGUAAUUAUUGGAUCAGAACAAAAUAACCAUCAUUUGUUAUAUGAUUGUAAUCGAUAUGAUCACAAUAAUUUUUUUAUCUUAAAAAUGAAAUGAUUUUAUGGAUAUAGCUAUCGAACAGAAAAAUUUUACUAAAGCUUCAUAUAUCCUUAUAAAAAAUAAUAAUAAUAAUAACAGUCGAAUAAUUUAUCUUGACGCUUUCAUAAGGAGAUUUUUUUUUAUUUUUUCGGAGAAAGAGAAAACUAAUAUUUGAAUGAGCUACAAUUCACGUCGCCGAAUGGAAACGUCUAGUCUUGUCACGAGUAAAAAACUACAAGCAGAAAACUUAUGCUCUUGUUUGGCGGGGAGUUCCUUUGCAAACUGCAGGCUUAUAUGUUGAUAUUUGAUUAGAUGUCUAUUAAAUAAUACUUUGUGCAUUGAUUCUAGUUUUUUUAUUAUAUUUUAAUUUUAAUUUUGUAGAAUAUAUCAAUACUAGAACGGGGUGAUCCUUUUGAUUUAUUAUAUGCAUGUAUAUAAAAAUUCAUUCUCAUAGGACCAAAAUUUUUUAAGAAAGUUUUUCAAAUAACAUUUGAAAUUCAGAGAGAGAGAGAGAGAGAGAGAGAGUGCAUGAAAGUCGCAUUAAGGACCUUAAAAAAAAGACCAUAUUAUAGUGGGGGAUGUCCAGGACCCAAGGCAAGAACAGAGAAUUGGAAAAUCUUGGUAGCCUGGCUUGAGAUCCCAAAACAGAAGAUGCCAAAGGGUAUAUUUAUGAAUUGGCUUUGAAGAAUUGGAUUAUGUGAUGACAUUGUAAGGAUUUUAAAAAGGCUUUCCUUCUUAUGGGGGAAAAAAAGUCUUCCUAAGCUUUUGCAACUAGUUGGCUAACGUGAAAGAGAAUAUAAUAUUAGAUAUCAAGAGGUGAAAAUGGAAGGAUAUCGGCAGGAAAAUUGGAAAUUUUUCAAAAAUAAAUGUUUGUGUGUACUAUUAGAGAGAUAUGAAGGGGUGCAGGUUGUAAGAAAAUAUAAAAUAUGUAAAUAAAUCUACUUCAUCCUAUAAGCUUAAGUUUUGGGGACAAAUGGUGAUUUUAAUAUGGUAUCAAAGCAGAGAUCCUGAGUUCGAAUCCUGUCUUCGCACUCUUUAACCCCAUUAUUAAAAAAAAAUUUACAUGUUGGGCUCGCCCAUUAAAGAAAAGUCUGGCCCACAUGUGAGGGGAGUGUAAGAAAAUAUAAAAUAUGUAAAUAAAUCUACCUCAUCCUAUAAGCUUAAGCUUUUAGAAAAAGUGGUGAUUUAAACACAGGUGCCUUGGAAUUUGCCACCUAUUUGUUGGCUCAAGAUUAAUACAAAAGAUAGCUAUGUAGAUAGGAUUUCAUUAAAGCAUGUAUAAAUGGUGUAAUCAGGGACUCUAAUGGAAAGCCAUUACAAUUCUCUGGAUUAAGAUUCUUAAUUAUUUCUCCUGCUGCGGAAGCUCAAGCAACAAUAUUAGGCUGGGAUUAGUGAGUUACUAUGGGAUUCAGGUGGAAGCGGAUCGUUUGGCUUUUAUAAGGAUGAUAAAUGGUGAAUCCAGGGUACCUUAAAGAUUUAGUUGAAUACAUCAAGCAGUUAAAUAGUGAUUUUUUCACUCAGGUUUGGAGAAGCAAACCAAGUUGUUAAUUGGCUAGCAAGACAUGGAAUGGAGGAGAAUUUGACGGAAUGUAUGUUUGAUUUUGGGACUGUACGAGAGGUAUUCCUCUUGAGCUGCGUUCCUAUGUUAAGAGUUGAUGGUAUUCAUGUAGUAUUUGAAAAAAUUCGAUGAGAUAACUAUUUCAGGAGGAAAAAAAAAUCUCGUGUGGUUUUUUUUACUGGACUAAAAUGUUAAUAUAUGAAAAAAUAAUUUUUGCUCGUUCAGUUGACCAUGGCAAGUUAUAAAAUAGCUUAUAUUUGGUUGUGUUUCUAAAAAAAUAAAUAAAAUAUAUAUUAUAUCUUUAAUAAAGCAAAAGAUUUUACUUCAUUUUAUCUGAAAAUUUAAGGCUACUUCAGAAAAAAAAAUUAUCCAAAUUUUCAGCCCGUAAAAACGUAUUUUUUUAUUUCUCUCAUAAUUUUUUUAAUAAUAUAGAAAUCUUAUUCAUAUGAAAAAACUAUUAUUUUAUUUUUUAAAAAAAUUGAGAUAAAUAUAAAAUAUUCUUUUAAUUAAUUUUAUUUUUUUUAUUUUUCUUGCGAACCAGAUGAUACCUAAAUAAUCUAACCAGCAGCCACCGUCACAAAAUGAAGAAGAACUUAAAGCUUACAGCAGCCAUUGCGUCUUGCCACCAGACGCUCGUAAGAGAGAUUUUUUUUUUCACUCAUGAUUUUUUUUGGUAGAUUUUUUUUUUCACUCAUGAUUUUUUGAGAGAUCAAAGAAAUAGUUUCAGCCAAUAUGCAUGUAAGUGAGUGCACGAGUGCAUGUACUUCCAAUAUAAAAAAACGCAAGGAAGUUUGCGGUACGUCUUCAUACUUUCAGAAAUUUAGAUUCUAUCCCAGAAAACUCCACUUCCAAGCAUAGUUUGAAUUGGGUCGCCCCCACCAAACUCAUUAUUAACGGUUAAUAAUUAUUAUUUAUCUUAAAAGGGUAAGUUAGAUUUUUAUUAUUAAAAUAAUCACGAAAAUAACAGAUAUCAUAAUGAAAAAUAAUAGUUAUUUGUAUUAUAACAGCUUACUAUUGUAGAAAAUAAUGGAUAUAAUGUAUUAUUUAACUCAUAAUAGCGUAUCAGGAAGUCUCCCGACUGCUAUUUAAAAUCAUGUUUUUUUUUUAUUUAUAAAAGUGGCAAUUAGAUCAGACUAAAUACAAAAUAGAUCAAAAAUUUUCGAUAUGAAUCUAACUAUUUUAUAAAAUAAGUAUUUUCAUCCAACCUACAAUAAAUUAAAUUACGUUAAAGGGGGCAUUGCCACUUCUACAAAUUUCUAUCAACUUCAGGCUAAUCCAUUUGCCAAAAGAAAUGGAAUGAAGAGUUGCAAAAUACCAUCAUAAUCAAAUAUUUAACAUAUAUAUCGACUCACCGAAUCCAAAUACAGAAGUUGGUGAUCCGCCGAGCGAUAGAUAGUGAUUGAUUGAUACCAAUCCGUACAUCAAUCCCUUAUCAUAUCAAUCUAAUAAGUUAAGUAUUUAUUUGACAGGUGAUCGACAGCAGUACUCUCUUCCCAAGCAGUCCACCAACUUCCUCCCUCUCUCUCUCUCUCUCUCUCUCUCUCNNNNNNNNNNNNNNNNNNNNAACCUACCUCCCUCCUCUCUCUCUCUCUCUCUCUCUCUCAUGCAGUAGAUCUACGUUAUAAUUACUUCUUGCACCAGCCAUUAAAUCCCUGUAAGUUAUCGUUGAAGCCAUUUUAUUUAACGAGGUUACCACCCCAUCUGUGCAUUAAAACUAGUUCCUCAGACCAUUUAAACUUGCUUUCACUUACCAAACAACACAACUUUAACCUGCUUCAUUUCCUUCUCCACAUUAUGGAAAUGUUCCAUCGGAUGCUAUAUUUUUUUCCUUCAGAUACAUGCAGAUCUCCAGCGUUCGGCUGCCACCGCGAAUUCAAGUGUUUUUUAUUUGAAAGAGACAAAAAUGAAUAGAGAGAAUCACGAGAGUUCCCAUCUACUGCUGCUUUCGGCUACAGGUCGAAUCCCUACCACCUAACCCGGCGAUAGCCACCUACCACCGUCUUCUGACCACCGACUACUAUGCCGGCAACCCAUGAUCAACGUGACUCUAUUUUUUAAGUUUUUGCAUACAAAAUGACAGAAAGAGAUGAUAAAAAAAUAGAAAAAAACACAAUUUUUACUGCACUAAUUAACUGCUAGAACUCAGGGUUUUUCUAUUUGUUUUUCAUUCGAAACUAAGUUUAUAAUAGCUAAUUACGUUGCAUUGUUCCGAGUGACCUUGCAUAAGAUGUGCAAAAUCUAAACACCCCGAGGACAGAGGAGCAAGAGAACAUCCUAACCUAAAAUAGACGAGAUAUAUGUCAAACUUGUUAGACGAAACCAAUGCAACGUUCCAGCUAAGAAUUCAUUUAGUUUAUAGAAAAAAAUUCUUUCUCACUAAAAUAUUUUAAAAAAAAUUGAUGCCAGCAUGAAAAAAUAAUUUUUGCAAAUUUAAUUGAUUAUCGAAAAGUAGUACAUUCUAAAAUUGAAAAUUUACUUUCUUACAAAAGUCUUAAUAAGGGUAAAAAAAUAUUCUAAUUCCCAAAUCCCACAUUGAUUUUUUUUUCGAAAAUCUUAUUCUUCAAAAACUUCAACUAAAUAAGAAUGUAUUUCUCCAUUAUUUUUUUAUUGAUCGUACUUUCUUCCUUCUCCCACAAAGCAACCCAACACUAUUAAUGAGACCAUGGGCUUGCACCUGGGUCUAGAAACGUUGAGUUGCAGUACUUUCCACUCCUAAACUACCUUACCGUGAGAUCGUUCUUCACUCAUCCACGCGUACUUAAGUCUCUGCAUCUCAACGCUCAGUAUUAGCUUUCAUCAUUCCAUCUUCACGAAUUCGUCCAUCUGCUAGUGUGAUUUAGAAAGGCUCAUCCGAGGUGAAAAGAUUGAAGUUAUAACUUAUUAGGGCCACCGAGAUAUCUAUCUUUGCUACCAUAAGACAAAUUACUUGAGCCAUUAUCUGUGGUUCUUAUUCAGUCUCUACAUGCACUAUGCUUACCGAGGACUUACUCCUGGACUCAAAAAUCAAUAAUAAAGUAAUGUAAUUCGAAAAUCCAUAUCAUCCAUCCUGAUUUAUACCGCUAAAAAUAAUUAGAAACUAAAAAUCACAUGCUUUGAUUGUCUCAAACAUGCGCAUAAAGUAAAUGUAAAAAUAAAAAGGUUAAAAUAAUGUAAGACCAUAUUUCUUACUAUUAGCCAAAUAUUAAACUUUAAUGUGACACCAUAAUAAGGUAUAAAAAAACAUCUAUGAAGAGGACAGGUAAUGUUUUACUACCAAAUAUUAGGACUGAUACUCAUACUAAAAAUUACGAUCAAAGAUGACUCUAUCAAUCGCCAGCUACUUUGGAGAUACCUUUCAAUUUUCCAUCUACACAUAUUUUGGCAUACGAAGAUUGUAAUCAAUAAGAUUGAUUUUCCAUUUAAAUAUUUAAUCAUGUAUUUUAAUAUACUAGUAUAAUAAAAAUCAUCCAUUUUUAUAUCCCCUUAAUGCAUAAGUUAAAUACUAUCAAAAUAUGUGAUUGUUAUUUCUAAGUAUUUUUAGCAAUAGAAAUCAUGAUUAAUAAUGUAGAUCACCGAUGUGAAUGCAUCAUCAUUGACUUUAAAAUUAGGAGUAGAUACUCUCAUCUUUCGAGAGAAGCAUAGACUCUCAUAUAUAUAUAUAUAUAUAUAUAUGCAUACACUUGUUUAAUAAAAAUAUGUUAGUAUUAUUUGAACUCUAAUUAAAAAAAAUUGUGUUGUUUUAAAAUUUUCACAAAAAUAACUUUUCAAAACAAGAAAUACUGCUUCAAACAAGUAUAUUUUCACAAUUUUCAUUUUCUUUCUAAAAUAAAUGCCCAAUAAUAUUAUUUAAUUUUAGAAAAAUAAAAAAUAUUUAUACGAUGACUUCUGCUUGUUGGCUUCUUUUUUUUUUUAAAAAAAAAAAAAGCAACACCAAACAUGUCAUAAAAAAGAAAAACAAGAGGGCAUCAUAUAGGCAUGACCACCAUCAACAAUCUCCUACCCAAUCACAGAGAUCUAGAUCUAUCGGGACUACUUGAUAUUGCGAACAUGAAUCAUGGCCACCAAAUUAGGGUUUGGGUCCACCGGUGCAAGUGGCGAGCACAACAAACCAGAGUUCUGCUCCUGGUCCAUCAAUGCCAAUAGCAGAUGUCACUAGCUUUACCUGUCAUUGCCUUUAUUGGCAUGGAAAACGCAUAGAAGCAAUGCGUCACAACUCUUUAUCCAACGAGCAAAUGCUUCUAAGCUGUCUUCUCCGGUUCUCUAGUGCGGCGAGCUUGUGGGUCAUCCCUCGGAGGAUUUCCAAUGGCCCCCAUGUCUCUUAACCUCUUAUGGUCCAGGGCCAGGAAACAAGGACUCGGAAUGGAAUGCCACAAGGGGCUAAGUUGGCAGGAUCAGAUGGACUGUGAACGGAAAUGACAAGGCUCGAUUUGAUGGACCUUUGAUGCCAGAAAACGCUACCUCCUUUGGCCCAUCUUGUGAUGUUUUAUGCCGCUUGUCGGCCACGCCGAAGCCAUAUAGGACAAACUGCACCAUGAGCUCAUGGCCCACUCGUAGGCCUCCUUCAAAGUUCAGCAACCGGCUUAAAUAUCAGCUGCUUUUGUGGUCUCGAUUGCCCUUACUACAUUAUAAUAUCUGGUAUUUAGUAACAGGGUUAUAUAGUUAAGACAAAUACAUUAUAAAAAGGAAAGAGCUUAGUGCUUUGUCACUUCUUCUUGUUUGCUGUCCUUCCACUUUUUCCAGAGGCACAUUCAUGCAUACAAGAUACAUGAUUUUCAUUACAAUAAUAAAUAGUAAUUUGGAGACUUCAGCAAUAAGAUUUGUACCCAUAGAAAAGAGAUAGAGGAAGAGAGAAACCGAAGACUUUAAGCGAGCUUGGGGACAAUGAAUGAAUCCUAAUUUUCCGAUGACCAUAUGAAUCACCUCUAACAUAUAUAUAAAAAUUUUUGAAAAUAUUUUUUUGCGAAAAAUGGAUCCUCCAAGACUGAUCACCGUAGUACGAUAACCCUAAUUGUCCAAAUACUGAAUCAAUUGAUCGAGCUUUUCCAUGCCUAGUCCCACACAACCUAUACAUGAAACUGUGAAACUCCAUGUAUACAUGGCUGCACAUCACAAGCAUCACACCAACAUACUAUGAUUAAAUCGAUUAUGAUCCCGAAGAAACAGUUAAAAACACAAAAUAAACAAAUAUGCUCCAUUGGUUGGUCUUUUACGCAUCACCCAAACAGACUUCAGUGUUGUCCACAAGGCACUUUUAAAGGUUCCAACGGUUGGAAUCCUAAAUACCUCUAUCACCUGGAGGAACUUGUUAAGGCUUGAAAAAGGGAGUCCUUUCUUUCAUCAAGGUUCAGCUGGCUCUCACCAUUCCCAUAUUCAUAUUAAGGGCAUUGCCAAAGCUGUGUCUCCCUGAAAGACACUACACUCAGGCCAUCCACAAAGGCCCUCACCGUGCUAAAAUCUAUGCUUGGCAAAUUUUAGGUACAGAGGAAAUUAUUUGGACUCUUCCCAGGAAAAAGAUUUAGGUAAACAUAUUUCAACCUAUCAGAUGAGAAAGCUUCCAGGAGACCGCAGGAAGGUUAUGAUGUCAAACUGAUAUACAAGUUCCUCAAGUAACCUAAUGGUAGUAUGGUACAGAUAUAAUUCGAGAGUAGAAAAUGUGUCAAAGAUGAGAAAGAUAUCAUAUAUUUUCCAAAUUUUGGAAAAAUGAAAAACCCGUAGGAGUUGGACAAAUUGAAAAGAAAGCAGUACAGAAGUACCGCAAGGAUAUAUGCACCAACAUUUUAAGAAGAUCUAGGUCUUCUGGAAAAGUAUAAGACAACAUGCAAGUAGAAAAGACGGGUUGGCAAUGGAAUCAGAUUUAGCCCCCAAACAACAAGGAUCAAAAAUGUUUAGGACCGAAAGACUCAAUGGUUAUGCUUAAGUUAUGAAUUUUAAGAUUUAAUCCAGAACAAUGUAAUCAUUGUUGUUCUAAGCAUCAUUAAUGCCAACUUAGCACUUCAAUUGAAGGCCCUAGCCCCCCUUGUUCACAAGGAUCGAACCAUUUAACUGCAUCUACAUAGUUUCACAGUAAGCAUCUACAAGCAUUCCCAAUCCUAUAGUGGUUAUCCCAUGUUCAUCCCAAGUGUGCAUCCCAGCAACCUUGUUGCUUUGCUCCAUCUCGAAUCACACCAUCCUUAAAUUAACAAGCUCACCACACCUCCCACAUAUAUUAGUCAAGGCUAGAUUCUGAUGGUGCACUUAUUGGGCACAAGAAAUUAAUCUCAAAUGGUGCCAUAUACUAGACAAAAACAUCAACUUGCAAGUUUGGAGAACUCUUCACCAGCCUCCCACAGCAUUUUCCGGAAGCAUCACAGAGAAUAAACCUUCUCCUAAGAACCCAGUUUCCUCAGCUCAAGGCCACUUAUACUACACCAAGGUUUAAUCAUUUGUGACCCUUUCCCCUCAAGUCUUUCUUUGCUCAGGAUCUGUGAUAAUAUCUGACACCUCAACACCAAAUUGGCGUCUAUCGCAUAAGCAGCAUUUUCUGUUGCUAGAGUCAAUUUUGCCCGUGAUUCCAGGUGUUCAAGAGAACUCAGAGAGAUCCAUCCUACUAGUGAAAUUCGGCUGCUAGCUGAAAAUAUAUCAGCUAGAGACAGGCUGCAGAAAAGGUACUCCUAAUGAUUAGGAUGCAGAAGCACCAGGGUGUCAUCCCUAACAUUCAUGCAAAUACCACCUUAUCCAUCCAAACCACAAGGUUGCUGAGACAGCAUUUAAGAAUUAAAAAAUAUAACAUGCGGUCCUGCCAGGCCACCCAUCCAACCACCAAGUUUUCAGUCAAUUAAGUUAAAGCACAAAUGUAUAAAAGAAAGUUGAGUUCAUUCGAAUGGCUAUUUUCAUCAGAGAAUUGAGAUUCAGGCUUCAGAAGAAUUACCAGCUAAAUGCUGAAAAAGCCUGUGUUGGGCGCGCCGCUAGAGAUAACAUCCUGUUCCCAAGUAAAGAUCUUGGUUAGCAGCCAUUCACAUAAGACUUGAAUACUUCAAGCAGCCAACUUAAAUUACUUCAUUUGACAAGCAAACUCUAAUAUCUACUAAUGAGCAAUUGGUUCAACAAGCUGCAUAAAAUUUUAGCUUAAAGUAACAACAGUACAUAUCUAAAGACUUAAAGAAAUUUCCAGCCUAAGCUUUUCUGUGCAAUUUCUGUUCCAGAAGAGUGCAUGAUCCUAGUUAAACAUGGUAAUGUUCAGAGGAAUGUUGUAACUGGUAGUGGUGAUGUUGUGACUGGUAGUGGUUCAGGCAAACAAUAUCCCUGAUCCCAUGACCAAUCCACUAGUUGCAGGCUCGAAAACUUAUUCCAUAGAAUGAAAUCAUCUGUGAUGUGAAGAAAUCUUAAAAAUAUUGUUCACAAGAAAUCUUAACUACUUUGAUGUGAAGUAGAAGAAUUGGACAGUAUCAUAUGCUCUCUCAGUCCUGAGAUCCACCUCAAGUGGGUAGACUUGUCUUCUAGAAUUAGUAAAUAGAAUGAAGUGACAGUAUAACAUCUAAGUCAACAUUAGAAAGAACGAAUCUUAAACAGUGCCAAGCUUCAUCAUGUGAAGAAACCAAACUAGCCGCAUUUGAACAAGUAGAAAAUGUAAUAAGGGGGAAAAGGAUGGUGUACGUCAAUAAAGACAUGCUUGCAUGCACAACUGACAUUGGACAACCCUUGAUAAUGUUUCCCAAGAUGUUGGAAGAUAUAGACAAAUGUAACAACUUAGUAAGCAUAGAAUCUUAUUAGUAGUCCUGAUCCGCUGAACAGUCCAAGCCAAACCUAUACCUAUCACAAGUAAAUGCUGUAAUUCUCUGAGUUCCAAAUCCAUCAAGAUGUUCAUCUGUCAUUUGAUUUUGAGCAUGUUGACAGAUUCUUUUCUUUCUCAUAUUUUGGACACUAAAAAGCUGUAUGCUACAUGGACUUAGGUCCACUGAUCACAGUCAAACAUAGGCAUGAUUGAGUCGCCUCCUAGAUAUUUCUGACAGAUAUUACUAAAGUAAAAAAAUGUAAGCAAGCCAAUUUGCCAUAUAUUUUUUGAGCCCACCUUUUCAAAAUGGAGAAAUCUUCUGAUGAAGCAUCGGAUAUUCCAAUAUCACAGUUUUUCAAUCUGAUAGAUUUUAAUUGAUAAGGUAGAUGUAAAAUGCAAUGAUGCAUAUAAGGCACGAGUUAUUCUAUCAUAUUAAAAGGAACCAUGGACCUCUGAAGUAUGCAGAAAAUCAUAACUGCUUCCUUCUUUUCCAAUCUAUGGGCAGACAUCAACCUUUUUUCACCUUUUUUUUAUCUUAUCUCUUUUCCUUUCUCACUAACUCUUCCCUCUUUAUAGUCCUCUACAUCCAUCCAUAGAGAAUGAACAAACAACGAAUAUGGUGACCCUCUCCUAAUUUAUGAAUAUCCCCAUUUUGGAUUUUCUGAAGCACUCGAUACCUCCAUUGAAGCAAAGCACAUAGAGGCAGCUGCAGAAAAUGUGAUGCUUCCCUUGCUGGGAAGUAUCACAGUCAUGAAAUAUGCGAUAAACUCAUUGCAAAGAAUUAAAAAAGAAGGGAGCUUCUAGCAAUGAUUCUUGUUGUUGAAUGGGGUUUUCGAUGUUGAUUCAGAUUGUUCAUGGAAAAUGAUCCAGAGUCAUCAAAUUAUGAUCACCAUCCAAUAAAUGAUAACAUGAUUGACUUGUCUUGGACAUGAUUACCAGAAUGAUAUGACAAGAAAUAAUACAAGACCAAUUAACCAAACUUCCUGAUUGAUGUGUGUUGGCCCCAACCACACUUCACUGCAAUUCUAGACAACAAUACAGGCUUACAUAAAUUGCAGUAUUUCCAAAUUGCAUAUAAAUAAGUCAAAACUACCUAGAGUCAAAUCUAAUAUUCAGACACUUUUAAAAAGGAGCAGGUGAGCACCUGGGCGUGUAACUAAAGCAGCUCAAACAGCCUAGCCUCCAGCAGGAACAUGGACAGACACCCAUGCCAAAGCAAGGGCUGGAGGCAAUUGGAGUGUGCACUCAAGGUCAGUUCUGACAGUCAUGGACAACACUCAAGGGCUGCAGCUCAGGUAAGUCCCCUCUUUCUCUCUCUCUCCCUCCUAUUCCCUUCCCCCCCUGCCCCCGGCCCCCCAGGCCCCCUUCCUCCCACCCUUUCCCCUGCUAGUAGCAAGGCUGCUGUUUGGUUCAGACAGGUGUUGCUGCUGCCCACAUGCAAAUGGGGGCGCUGCUGCCAAGGAACUAUCUAGACCCUGGAUGGUCCAUCCUACACAUUUGCCACCUAUAGGCUUUUAUAACAACAUAUGCAAGAUUCAAGUUUCUUCUUUUCCACUAUAAAGCUCAAUGUAUUCUAUCUUUUCUUUGUCAUUAGUUGUGUGAUCUGUUAUAUCCAUGAUUUUUUAUAAUUUGCGCAUUAAACCUAUUUAUUAUAGAGUCUAAAUGUUUCAAACCAUGGUUUAAAAUACCGGUCUAAGUACCCCUAGAAGUACCAUGUUGAUACAAUUCAGUAUAGGUAAAUUUGGCAUACCGACACUCGAUACACGCCAUACCAAGUAACGGGUCAGUAUUGUUACAGUACAUCCAGUACGGGAUGUUACAUACCCGUAUGAUGAGCCAUGUUUCAAGCAGUGUUGCAAAUGCAAGGACAUGAACCAAAUUUGGAUAUAUCCAAGUUUCUGAGUCUAAAAUGUUAGAAAAGAAGGCAUAGAGACACAGAAAACAUAGUUCAAACUAGAUUAGACGUUUACAUUUUCUUAAAUAUUGUAUGAAAAAAUCGCAGACAAUCAUUUUAUAGAGGUUAAGCAUUCAAAUACUAAAAUUUACAUAUGAAUGAAGGAACAUGACCUUUUACAAAGUCAUUUUAAUACCUUCAUCUUUAAACAGCUCCAAAAACAAUAAAAGUCCACUUCUAAUGUCAUUACAGUGGGUUGAACUCUUUGUUGCAAUAGGCCAACUUUGAAUUAAUCUCUAAAAGAUACAAACAAAGAAUUUGAUAUCGUCCAAGUGCCUGCUGCAUACCAACUCACCAGUACAUGUUGAACAUGAACUUACCAAGAUGGAGAUGAGAGUUUGGAUGACACUACUAUAUCUACAAUCAACAUGCUCGUAUUUAGAAUAUGCAUGCUUAGAUUAAUCAAAAAACACAUUUACUUGUUCAAAACAGGUCCACUUCUACUAAAGCAGUUACCAUUAGCCAAGAUGCAAAACCAAAAAUGUAGAGUACCUAUUCUAAUAUUUCCAUGAUCUUGUAAAUCUUGAACACAAUGAGCAUCAAAUAUCAAAACCAACAUGGUGUCAUAAGCACAUGUGACUAAUUUAACCCUCGGCAAAGAAUUCAAUCUUCCACUAUACCCCAUUAAUCCAUAUUUUGUUAUCCAAAUUAAAUAUAUAAAAAAACACACCCACACUAUAAUACCCUACAGGGUUGUACUUGGAUGUAUAUAUGAGAUCUAUAAGUAAGAUCACUCUAUAUCAUGUUCAUUUGAUGUAGGUCAGUUAAAGAGUAUAUUUUGUGAUGUAGCAUGGUGAAUAAAGAAACUAACAAAAAGGAGUGUGCAUCCCGCAAGGGGAAAGGGGGAAGUGAGGGCCGGGGAGGGGUGCGUUUGCAGUAAACAAGGCCAAGCAAUUGCUUGUCAAAACUUUAUUGGUGUUCCCAAAAAAUUAUUGUUACAAUAACUACACCUCCAUUUAUGAAUUCAGCAACCAUGCCUGGCAAGAAUAUGCAGCUAACUGAAGUGAAAUGGGCUCACCAAAAAUUUCUUGUACAAGGCUACAAAAUUCAAAUCCUCAUAGAGACAAGCAUGGAAAAGCUACACAAAGUUACUCAAUAACAACUUUGAUAGCUCUAGGAUCCACUUUGACUCAUCUGAUUACUAAAUUGGGAAUGUUUAACAACAUACCAAACCAAAAUAAGAUAAGAUACGUCAUCAUCAAGCAAACCCAAACACUUGUUACAAUAAUGAGCCUCUAAUCAUAAUUACACUAACCAAUUCACAUAUUUAUAGAACUCUUUCCUAGCGACCGAGAAAAGCUGAACAAGUAACAGAGUUCUGUGAGCUAAAUACAGGCAACAAACUGUGAUUGAGAAAUUAGAAAUGCAGUACACCUGGACCACACAUGAAUCCCUAAAUGCAGGAAAAAAAGGCAGAUUUUCUAUAUAUUCAAUAGGAUAAUGUGGGUUUCAACAAGCUUAUUGGGGCACCAGAUGGUAGCAUAUUAGUUAUUGUUGUAUCGCUUCACAAAUGCAAUGCAGUAGGCCCUGGCCCUGAACAUGAAUGACUACAUGCAAAACAACGAAUCUUUUUCUUAUUAGUGUGGUAUAUUCACACGUGCAAGGCUCAUUCAUAAAACAAUUAGAACACUCAGACCUUCCAACAAUUAUGCACCCCACCACCUCAAAAAGAAAAAAGAAAGAAAAAAGACAAGCAAAACCCAUAACAUUAUAGACAAGGAAAGCACAAAAAAACAAAUUUAAGAGAAUGAAGAAUAGGAAAGGUUGAGAUGGGCUUUAAAGACCCAACUGAAGAUUCAAAGAGGGAGAGACCUUAUUUCAAAUUAAAGUGGACUGGGUAGUCAACUACGCUUGGUGCCUAGAAGAAGCCAUAAGGUCUCUCAUGAUGUACGAAUUUAAAGAAAAAAAGAGGAGUAAGAAAACAACCCAAAAGCCUGUAAAACAAUUGUUCUAGCAGCCUAAUUAGGGUUUCAAAUCUCCUUUAUUUGUUGAGGUAGAUUGGAGGGCAGAUCUUGGCUUCCUAGAUAAGAAUUUCAAAAGGCAAAUUCCUAUGUGUUUGCCACCAGCCACUUGCAAGUAGAUAUAAAAACUUAGAAAUCAGGAUGGUCAAAUGGGCCAGAAGGUACACUAUAAUGGUCAUCACAAUGCUAAGAUGCAAUCCAAUGCAUAGUGACUCAUCUCCAAUAAUGGGCCUCUUAAAUUCAUUCGCAAGCCCCUCGCAUAUUUGAAAAAAAAAACAAAACACAAGUUUUGACGGUACAAACUUUGAGAUUGUGUUGCAAUCAAUAAUUAAUAAUUAGGGAAUCGCCAAAGAUACAUGGGUUGAACAGACCCAUUUUAACCUAUGUUACUAUGAAUUGGGUGCAUGCAUAGAAGUAGCAAAACUAUUAUGUGUACAAACUCAUAAAAUCAAUGAAAAAAAGAAUGAAUGAAUAAAGAAUACAUAAUGGAUGGAAUAAUAGAAUACCCCUCCAUGAUACAUGGACAUUUUAGUUAUUAAACUGUAUACUGUAACCCCAACAUCUGCGAUUAAAUAGGCAGGCCUAACUAUCAUUAAAAAAUUGAGAAAUUUAUGCUACCAACUACGAACUUAAAUUCAUAUUAACAGAAAGGGAACAAUUAGGCAAAGAUGCAAAGUGAAACUAUAAAUUUUAUAACAAAAAAAGGACAGUGUAUGAAUUUUAUACGAGUUAAUGGGAACGUAGCACAGACCACUAAAAUAUCUAGCAUAAAAAUAAUUUUUGAUGAUUGAACUAGAAAAAUUCAAGAAAUUGCCUUCCAACAGUUCCAACCUACAGAAUCCAAAUUCUUAAAAAACCUUUCCAUGUGCUAAGCAUCAUUUUCAGGUCCCAACCACCAAAACAAAUAUCUAUCCGCUCAAAACAUACAACAAAAUCAUGAAAAUUAAUCAUUAAAAAUACACAAUAAUGUCACCAAGCAGCAAAAGAUGUCAAAAAUAUCAGUCAUUAGGUGUUCCAAUCUCAAGUGUGGAACACUGGCCACACAUAAGAAAAACUAGCAGGCCACUGUAACUGAAACAGUGUACCUCUUUUGCCUAAAUAGAUUUAAUUCAACUGAAUUCUACUUUUUUCGGCAAGAACAAUGCUAUUUUAGUUGCGUAGCAAAUGAAAUUUGCAUCACUGAUUUGCAAUUGUAUAAAAUAAGGCAUGAGCAGGGGCAAAGCCAGAAGUCCAGAAGACACUACUCUUUGGUUAGGGAGGGGGAGGCGCAAUUACUAACUAAAGUUUAUUUCUACAAACAAAAAAAUAUCAUGUUUUAAUUAUUAUUUGCUUUCAGAUAUUAUUUUGAGGGAAGAAAGAAAAGAAGCUCAAAGUUAUACCUUUUGCAUCUAUCUUUGAUUGUUUUCGCAAGCAUAUUAGCAAGUGACAAAUAUUUCAUUCUAAAUAUACAUAUAGAGUUAAACCACAGAUAAAAAGUCACUAACCUUUUGAUAAUGUUUUCUUAAGAAAAUGACAAAGAUGAUUUGUUGGCAAGAAAAUCACCUUGAUUACAUGGUAGAACUUGUGGAGGAGAGGAGGGGGAGAGAGAGAGAGAGAGAGAGAGAGAGAGAGAGAGAGAGAGAGAGGAGGAGGNNNNNNNNNNNNNNNNNNNNGAGAGAGAGAGAGGAGGGGGGAGUAAGCUGAAAGGGUAAGAGAUGGUCGUGGUUCCCAUAUCUCACAUAUGAAUAAUCUUUUCAGCAAACUCUCACAUAAGGAUUAUAAAUUCCUACUUAAAAUAACAAUUUUCCCAUCAAUGUUUCAGCAUUCCAAUCAUAUGGAGAUAUAGCAAUCAUUACAGCCCAGUUAAAGGAAGAGUAAAGGGGUCUUGAGAUCUAAGAUCUUGGGUGCCAUCAAUGGCCCCACCAAAAAGCCCCACCAAAGUCUGCCCCUGGACAUGAACAAAGAGAACACAUACUUAUAUAAUAACAGAGGGGCUCAGCUGCACUAGCAGUUUAUUGUUUUUUGAGAACUAGGACAGGUGGAGGCCCAGCCACUUAUCAGAGAGAGAGAGAGGGAGGGAGGGGAUAGAACCCAGGUCUCUUGUAUCAAGACAAGAGACUUUGCCAACUCAGCCAGUUGGCACCCUCCAGCUGCAUUAAUUAUUAACAAUAGAGAAUGACAACUGAAGAAUUACUAUGCCUCAUAACAAACCUUUAAUAGAGAAAAUCAACCCAAACGAAAGAAAGAGGGAAAUGGGAAAAGUACCAACCGAGAUGUUACUUGGCGUCCAACUUCACAGUUUCAACUUGCGAUGUCGUCGUACAAGAAACUGCUGUUGUUUGCACGUUAGAGCCAGUUUGAUUCCCCUUGCCAUUGCCAAGAGCAGCAACCCCACGAAAAUUGCCACCAGCCAUACCUGUGUAGCCGCCAAAGUCGCCAUUGAUGUAACUAGGAUACGUAAAAGAAUUGCCAUAUGGCACCAGACCGUGCCUUGAGGCCACCCAUCCCUGGACGUUCCAAGGGCCCCUUGGACCUGGAACUGGACCUCCAUAACCAAUCCCACCAUAGCCUCCAACAGUAUAUCCUCCAUAACCACCAGCACCAUAAGCAUACAAAGGUGGCGACGCAUAACCAUGAAAAUACCCGUACCUAGGAGUGUAAGGUGAGUAAAUCCCACCUGGGUAAUUACAAAAAGCAGCUCCUCUACCACCAAUGGUUCGUGAGUUAUAAUUGUUAUUAUCAUGAUUACCAUUAUUGCUAUGAUUAUUCCCAUCCUUUGGCACUGCUAUCUUAACCUCUACAUAUUUACCAUUCAACUCAUGGAAACUUUUCUGCAUUACUUUCUCAACAGCCUCUUCAGAAUCAAAGGUGAUGAAGCCAAAGCCUCUUGGUCGGUGGGUUGCACUAUCAUACAUCACAACCACGUCUGUUAUUGUACCAAACUCCUUAAAAUAAUUCUUGAACUCAUCUUCCGUGAUAUUAUCAGACAAACCACCUACAAAAAUCUUCUUCGACUUAAAGUGACUCCCAUUGCUGCUGUUAUUGUUAGUACUGCUCCUACUCGACCCUCUACUAUCUCUACUAUGAUGGGGGCUCUGAUUUGGGUAUCGGUGGUGAGGGGAUUGGUGACUUUGAUGUUGUUCACCUCUGGGUAUGGCUUUCUUCACUUCUACCUAAAAAGCACAAUCAAGUGGAAAAAAACACCACAUAAGCCACAAAUUAAUGCACAGAACCAAUUCAUGACAGACAAGGAAAAACAAGAAUUUGAAAAGGAUAUAACAAUAUUACUAUUUCCAUAAUUCAUUAUCUCAAUCAUUGGAAACAAAACUAUCGAAAAAUCACGAUUACUUAUAUAACUAAUUUUAUUGACCAAUUAUGUUUUUUUUCAAACUACAGCAAUUCUCUAUAAAACAAAAUAGAAGCCCCUAAAGUGUGAAAAUUUUGUUAUGUAAACUAACAAUUUGUAAGCAGGUAAAUCUUCCCUUACUGUCCGAAAACCUUUUUUUCUUUGAGAGAGAAAAAUUCAAUAAAGCAAACAAAAAGCAGAUUUCAUAAUAAUCAUAACAGAGACAAAACCAACCAGCAUUACGACUUCAAUUUUCUCCUAUAAUCGUUUACAUAAUAGAACGAUUUACAGAAGAACAGCCGCAAACAAAAUAUUUCGCGGAAAGAUAAACAUAACUAGAAGCACGAAUUUAUGCAUAAGCAAAAAAAAAAAUACACCUAAAAUAUCAAAAUAAAGCAAAAAAAGGGGAAAAAAUCACCAACAAACACAGAAAAAUCGUUUUUUUUUCACUUCUUUUCUCCACUAAGAGGAAGCGGUGAGAGACGAAAGGGCAAAAAGAGAACUAACCGUUCUCCCAUGAAUGACGUGCUUCUCCUUUUCCUGAAGAGCCCUCUCCGCCGUCUCCGGCUCCAAAAACUGGACGAACCCGAAGCCCCGGCCGUUCCCUGUGGUCCUGUCCCUCAUGACCACCACCUCCUUCACCUCCCCGUACUUCUUAAAGUGCUCCGCGAGCGCCUCCUCCCUCGUCUCCGACGAGAUCCCUCCGACGAAGAGCUUCCCCUGCUCCGACGCCCGCGACGGCGCCGAGGACGAAGACGAAGACGAAGACGACGACGACGGCUCCAUCUACCCGCCUCACCGGAGCCCUACAGGACGCCCAACACCCUAGAGAUCAAGAAAAGGGAAGCUAGGGUUGGGAGAAAACCUAGAGGCGGGAGCUGGGCGGCGGGGGCGAGAAGGAUGGGAGCAGGCGGCGCGAGGGUUUUAGAGUUCGGGCGGGGGAGUUAGAGAGGAGGGAGAGAGCUCAAGGGUUUCUCUCUUGGAGGGAAUAGACGGUGGAUCGACGAUCUUGGGAUGGAGAAAGAUGGACCGUCGGAUCUGGCACCAACUCUUGCCCGCAUUCAUUAAAUAGGUCCGUUUUGGUGCUACGGGUUGACGGCUAUCUCCAAACUAAAAAGGUCUUGGGAUAAACGUUACGGAAAGAUACGGCAGUUGUUAUCAAAUUAGGGUUUUCUGGGUAUUAAGAUAUAUUUUCAAAUAAGCCCUCAAAGUUUAAGAGUAUUCGGCUGCUUGUCCAAGCUGUGUUGCGGUCUGAAGAUAUUGGUUGUGCUGCUACCCGUGUAAUUUUCAAAAAAACCCCUGAAUUUUAUUAUAUGUGGGCCCAAUACUUGAUUUGUGGUAGCAUUCUCAUAUUAUAAGAAUCUUGCCAAAAUGUAACCAUAUAGUUACAACAAGAGUGCUCGUGUGGCAUAACAGAUAUGUAGUGUAAUAAUGGACUGGUAAAUCUAAAUUUGUUAGUUAAGAGAAUUGCCCUAAUCAUCAGCUCUACUAAUAGAUAUGCACAAGAGAAUAUAGAAAAAUGUGGAUUUCACAAGUGAUACGGUAUUGCCCAUCCAUAAACAUAUGUAGUAAGGCAAUUAUUGUGAGAUCCUAUGCGCACGUGUGUUUAAUUCCAUAUUAAUUAUACACUGGACAGAUCUUGGAUAUUUAUACAAAGUCAAAAAAUCCAAAUAAUACUUUUCGGCUUUUUUUUAAAUAAGAUUCUUAUCGUUACAAAUGGCAUCAAAGCGAACUCAGUCCAUAGCUUACAUAGACUAGAUGAUGCUACAAUACGAAUUCAUUGGGUUGAUUAUGGGAUAGUCAUGGUGUUUCUAAUUAGAUUUGUAGUAUUUAUAAUUGGAUUCGAAUCCUUAGAGCGGCAAGAAUAUCAAUUUUUAAACAAAAUAAGUAUGUCGGAAUUUAUGCAAGCAUAUCUUUAGUUCUAUAUUAAGUAGAUUUUUGGUACUUAUACAAGAUCAAAAAAUUGAAGUAAUAUUUUUAACUAGUAUUUUUUUAUUGGGUUCUUCUAAUUAUCCUGUUACAUUUUUUUUAAUAAAAUAUCUAUGCUCACAAACUUUCAAAUCAUGAUUCUAUUAAUUCCUUACGCUCAAACAAUGUGCUAACUAACCUAAAAAAAAUACAAAAGUACUUUAACAUAUAUAUAUAUAUAUAUAUAUUAUAAUGAUCCAUGUGAGAGCAAAGACAGCAGAGCCGGGAGCAAGGAGUAGAAAAAGGUGCGUUCAUGAUGACAUCAAUGAGGCUGUGGUGACAAAACAAAGUGGUAAAGGUCAAGGCGGAGGUCACACUAAAGUCGUGCCAACGGAUUGGCAUGAUGAUACACCAGAGCUGGAAACCAGAAGCAAAGGACGAGGUGAUGAUGGGUGGAUAGACUUGUAAAAGUAACAAGCUGUAGGGAAGCACUUGAUAGUGAAAGUGGAAGCGAGACUUUCUAUAUGCGAUGUAGAAUUAAGCUAUAUACAAAAUGAAAGAUUGUAGCUUUCUUGGCAGGUGAAGAAGGCAAUUGAUUACCCCUAUGCCUUUUAUCAUUUUUUAAAAUAUGUCCUAAUGUACCCGCCCGGCUUCUUUUUUUUUUUGUUCCAUAAAUUUUGCCAAACUUUGCAUAUGUCAUCAAAUCUCUUUAGAUAUCGUCAAUCUAGUUGGCGAUGUUCAAGGAGUCGAUCCAAGGGAGCCUUCUCUAAAUCUCGCCGAUCUGUUCAUCAUCAAGUUCAAGGAGUCAAACUAGAAGUCAAUUUGGUCGGUGAUAGAGCAAAGUGAGGAGCUCUUUCUCUUUCAAGAGCCAUUGCUAUUAUUUUGUGUUUGUUGUUGAUGAUGUCAACGGUCUAGAAGCUGUCGUUGAGGUCCUUGAUGUCGAGGGCGAUGACCUUGAGCUCUUGGAGUCAGCCAUGAUGAUAGAAAUAAGGACCUCAGAGCCUCCCACACUGCUCUUAGACUCCUUCCAUCUCAACCACCUACGCUGAGACCUCCUCCUCCUCCUCCCCCCAGUGGUGACCUCCAUGCCCCAUCCUCCAACCAUCGCUUCCUCGAGCUCUCCUUCUACUAUUCCUACCACAACACCAUUCACAACCACUACAUCCCCCAUGCCAUCGUGGGAAGCCGCCCAACUCUGAAACAAUGUGUCACGCCCUCGACCCGAGAUCGCGAGUUGAGGAUCGCAGCAACCACAACAUAUUUAUAGGAAACUCUUUCACAAGCAUGUAAGGCUUUUUAUCAUAAUAUCAUAAACAAGCAAUAGAAUAAAUUUAAAUAAUUAGCAUUCAAAUUCUAAUUUAAAUAAUAAAAUUAAAAGUCCUACAAAACAAAUAAUAUUUCAAAAUUUUGCAUCAACUCUACAAUAGAAUCUAGCCUAAAUAAAGAUGUCAAAUCUUGUCUCUAAUUGCUCUCCAUGAUAAAUCUCUGAGUUAAGCUAAUUCUUUGGAUUUGUAAAAAUAAUAAGAAAUCAUAUGAGCUAGAUAGCCCGGUAAACAAUGAACACUUUAACUUGAUAAAUCAAACAAUAAAUUAAAAUAAUAUUUAUAGAAAAUAAGCAUAUAGAAUUUAUCAAUUUAAAACUAAAUGUAAAUAUGCAGUAUUAUCGAAAUAUUAGGCAUAUCAAAUUUAAUUUUUCUCAAAAUCCAAAUGUUGUUCAUAAAUAAAUUUCUUUUAAAUCAUCGAAUUCAACUCGACAUCCAAGAAUUAUGACUAUAUCAAAGUGCCACCGUAGAGCCUCCAAUAGUAGGGUAUCAAAGUUCCAAUGUAUAACUCCCACUAAUAAGGUAUCGAAAUUUCAAUAUACAAUCCCCACUGGUAGGGUAUCAAAGUGCCAACUAAAACACCCACUGGAAAUAUAUCGAAGUGCCAACGUACAACCUUCACUAGCAAGAUGUCGAAAUGCCAACAUACAUCCUUUACUAGCAGGGUAUCAAAACAUAGUCCGAUUGCGAGUCCAAAUUUGUUUCAAAUCAAAACUCUUUUUCUCAAAAGUAUGUUCAAUGUUCCAGAUUGUAAGAUAGUUAAAUUGAUAAGACAUCAAAAUCAAUUGAGCAUAAUCCAUAUCAAAACCAACAUGGUCACUUAAGAAUUAACAAAUAUUCUAAAAAAGGCAUAUAUAAUAAUAAAACACCAUGCAUCAAGUAUAUAAAUCAAGAAUAAUUUGAUUUGAAAAAUAUUUAUAAUUUGUUGAUAAAUCUCGAAAAAAAGUUAUAUUACUUACCUUAGGGGCAAAACCAAAUUAUAGGUCCAAAUAAUUUCGAAAAUUACUUCCAGAACCUCAUAAUUCAACAAGUGCUCAACUAAAACUUCUGUGAGCCAAGAUGCGAAGGAGAAGGAAUAAAUGAUGGUCUAGUUGUAGUAAUCGGUAAAAUCUGUCGGUGAUGAGAUGAAAGGGAGUGCGGGAUCUUUAAAUAGUCAUUGGAGGCUAGGUUUCCUAGUUUCCAUAGAAAAUCGGGAUGAAGGAGGAGUCCAUCUUCUACUCCAAGUCGAACAUGACUUUAUUUUUUUCAUCUCCUACGUCACGGAAUAGGACUCUAUUCUCUUUUUUUCGUUUCCUACUCCAAGUCAAAUAGGGUUAUUUUCUCUCUUUUUUUUCUCUCUUAUUCCAACUCUUACAUUUAGUCCAAUUAAGUGAACCAAACACAAUUCCUUAUUUGACCAACUGUGCCAACCCCCUUCACUUGAUGCAACGACUAUGUCUAUGUCGACCAUGCUUGGAAGCAUCAAUAUCUCAAUGCUCUGCCAUGGACAACCUUCUUGAGUUCUCUCGUAAAACCGGCAUCACCAGGGUCUGUGGGUUCUUGACAGGCAGCGGCAUCACAAAGAGGAACCUCGAUGAAGAAGGAGAUUUACCAUCAAAGAGGAAAGGUAAAAACAUCUUGCGGACUCCUAGUUUAGAGUACCUAGGGGCAAGAUAGUUGUUNNNNNNNNNNNNNNNNNNNNGAAGGGCCGGCGCCGGGGAGCCCGGCCACCGGUUUUCUUUGCAGGACUUGCACACCCCCCCGCAGCGGAGGACGCAGCCAGCCGGCGCACCGCCGUCCGCCCCCUGCAGCAGCGGAGCUCCUCCUUCUCCGGCUUCACGGCGGCCCCCGGGUCCAAUUUCCAGCAACAAUAGUUAUUUUUUAUUCCUAACUAACUUAACUGACAUAGUUUGGGCAAUGGAAAACAACAGAAGGGCCAUCUUGAAAAUAAAAAUAAGUUAAUAUGAUUCAUGUUAUAUGCAAUAUUGACAAAAUUUUGGUUGUAAAAUACAAAAAAAUUAAGAUAUUUAUUGCAGCAUCAAAUUAGCAUUCGGUAACUAACAAAACUAAACCAAUAACUAAGGCAACGGUUCGACCUGCACGCACUAUAGUUUUUUUUUUUUUGAUUUGAAUAGUUGUAUGCAUUUAAGGGGACCUCGGCCUUUUUAUAUUUCUUUAUUGAAAAUAAAACUAUAGUUUUUUUUGGAAAAAAAAAUGAGGAACUACAAGACUGGGUAUUUUGGAGGAAGCUUAGUAUGCACGGUUAAGUUGGAUUUGCCCCUAUUUGGCGAUGCUUUUCGACAAGCUGGACAAGCAUGUACUUAAUAUAAUAUUUUAUUAUAUCACAUCACAUAAUAUUUCAUUAUAUUAUAUUAUAUCAUAAUAAUAUUAUAUUAUACUAUACCAUAUUACAAUAAUAUAUUAUGUAAUAUUAUAUUAUAAUAAUAUUAUAUUAUACAAAUGCACAUUAGUACAUAUAAUGUCAUAUUAUGCUUAUUAUUAUUAUACUAUAAUAUACAAUAUUAUAUUAUAAUAUAUUAUCAUAAUUUAUAUUAUAUUCUAAAAAUAUAUUACAUAUUAUAAAAUAAUAUUUUUAUAUAUAAUAAUAUAUUAUAUUAUAUUAUAUUAUACUAUAUUAUAUUGUGCAAUGUUUUUUAUUACUCUUUUAUCGUACCAAACGUGGGGCGUAGGUUUCUGGCUUGGAAAUCGGGCUACGGCGCUUGCGUUGCAGUUAUUAGCCGAAAAGGGCCUUUAACAUUUAUGAUCAAACGGUCCACGUACCAUCGGUGGAUGUAUCCAUAAUGAGUCCAGGAUGUGGACAUCUCUCUCAUAAAUGACCUUUCUCAAAAAUAAAAGAAAAAAGUACGGCUAUGUUUGAUGUACCUGUGUGAAUUAUUUGAUUUCCAAUAUAUUACCAGCACUGUAAAAAAAUCAAGAUUAACUUUCACAUUGAAACACCAGGAUCAUGUUGAUGAGGGAAAUAGUUCUAGAGGAUCAGCUGAUCUGCCAUGCAGCAUACACUGUAAAGAGAAGACAAGGUGGAAACUGGGAUCAGUUGCAUUUAUAUGAAAAAUGGAACAAACUCAAGCAGUAGACUUGUGCUUCUUGGGUUGGUUUUAGAGGGGUUCUUUAGCUUCAUUGGAUUACCUUCAGUGCUGUUGUCUGUACCGGAUACUUCUGAAUUUUAGUAAUGAUCUUUGCUCAUGUACACAGUUUUGCAUGGACUUUGCAAGACUAAAACUGAAUCCAUUCUCCAGGCAGCAAAAUCUGAGAAUUGUUGUUGUUCCUGCAUCUGCCUUGAAUCCUCUGAGAUGGNNNNNNNNNNNNNNNNNNNNNNNNNNNNNNNNNNNNNNNNNNNNAAAAAAUUCCCUCCAUCUCUCAAGAAUACUAAAAGAAAGUCUAAAAACAAAACAUCCCGGAGCUCCCGGGGCAGCUCUCCGUCCCUUACCCAUAGGGUACUACUGGCAUGGUUAGCCACAUACGUGGUCACCCAAUCCGCAGCCCCGUUAGCUUCUCGAAACACAUGCUUCGUCUGGACCAUCCCUCCGUCCCUCAUCAUCAACCAGAUAUCGCGGAUCAAGGGAUGGUCGGCAGCACCGGCCCUCUGACCCCCUGGAUCCAACUAAUGACCGUAGCCGAGUCACCCUCCAAGAUGACUGAUCUAGCUGAGAGCACACGCUGAGCGUGUCGAAGACCCGCCCAGGCAGCUUUCAGUUCCGCUCCAGGAACCGUGCAGUCAAAUAACUGACAGCCUCCUGCCGCCACUACCCUAGAAGUCGGGUCCCGAAAAACGAAACCCGCUCCACCUAUCGUGCCACCAUCCAGCACUGACCCAUCAAAAUUAACUUUGAGGAAGCUUGGGGGUGGGGGUUCCCAGGUGAAAAACACCGUGUAAGAAGCUGCCGAGGCAGGAGGGGAACCCUAGAUAUCCCGAACUAUCAAAAGUCUAUCUAAGAAGGAAGCAUGACUAAUCUCUGCCGCCUGCGCCCGGGCGCUCUCCGCCACGAGCCUUGGCGACUUGCUCUGCUCACCAAAGGUUCGAGCAUUCCUUGCCAGCCAUAUAUGGUAUGCUGUGCAGGUCGCUCUAACCGCCUCUUGGCGUGUCAAUAGGUUACCCGACCACAAACGGAUAGUUCGUAAGAACUGGUCCCCUCGGGUCCAACCCUCCCAUAGCAGCCCCGCCGCACACCACGCCGCCCUCGCCCAUGUGCACUGAAAUAGUACAUGGUCCACCGACUCAUCGGCUCCGCAUGCCCCGCACUCAGGAGGUAUCUUCAAGCCCCGUUCGCUCAGUACUGCUCUUGUCGGAAGCCGAACGCAGACGACUUUCCAUAAGAACAGUGCGACCUCGGAUGGAGGCCUAGGCGCCAGACCCAGGCAUACUCCGGUCCUGGCUCAUGCUCUGGCCGGAGCACACGGGAGAGAUCCCCCACCCUCACUCCGGUCCUGCACGACAUGCUCCACACCCGGGUAUCCGGACCCGCAUACCCCGGAAUCGGAAGGGACCGAACCCUCUCGGCCAAGUUUGCCCCAAAUAUGUGACCCAACCUAGCCUCAUCCCAGGCAGCCCCGCCCGGGACAAGGAGGUCACAGACCCGCAGUCCCUCCACUGCCUCAAUAUCAACCAUAGUCGACCAGAGUCUCAAGGGUAGGGCACCCACCCAUGGGUCACCAACCACAUUAAUACUCUGCCCAUCGCCUAUCAACCAUCUAGUAUUCUCCUCGACCGUGGGAAGAUAUUUAGCGAUCUCUCGCCACAUGAAUGAACAGCGACGCCCACUGCGAAUCGCCCCUGCAGUGCCGGUAUGGCCAUAUCUGGUAGCCAUGGUCUGACUCCAGAAACCCUGUGGCUCCAGCGUGAAUCGAGCUGCAUGUCGGGCAAUCAGCGCCUCACAUCGCUCCACAAGAGACAAAACUCCGAGGCCACCCUCACUCACUGGUAGGCAGAUACUCUCCCAUGCUACUAAAGGUAUCCCGUGACCCCCUCCAUACGACCCCCACAGGAAGCUUCGAAGUAGCCUCUCAAUCCUCAUUAGCAAGGAGCUCUCACACAAACACACAAAAACACGAGGGAAUGCCUACCUACCCCUUGUGAUUCCCGGCUUUGACAGACAAGCAAAACUUGCUGCCCACUUCACCUGUCACAACAGCCAGAAAGAGAAUGCACUGUUUUCGGAACCACUGUGUUGGCCAUGAAGUGGACCGGCAUGGAAGCUAGCACUGACCUAAUCAGCGUCAAUCUACCCAUCAUAGAGAGUGAAGAUGCCCUCCAGCCCUCCAGUCUGCUCUAAAUCCUCUGUACCAGACCAGAACACUCUGCCACCCGUAACCGCCUACCCGUAAUGGAUACUCCCAGAUAACUCCAGGUCCCAUCCUGAUCCGGUAGCCCAAGUAACCUCUGAAUCUCCUGUGUGACCCUAUGCUCAGUGCUAGGGCUGAAGAAAAUUGUUGACUUCUGAAGGUUUACCUUAUGUCCCGAUAUUACACAAUACUCCGCUAAUACUCUCCUGAGUACUCGUGCAUCCUCUACCCGCGCCCUAGCCAGGAGUAGACAAUCGUCCGCGAAUAGUAGAUGCGAUAUAGACCGAGACCCUAGGGCGGGAACAAACGCCUCCAGCUCCCGGUUAGCACAAACACCUCGCAGAGCCCGAGACAUGACAUCUGAACAGAUGAUGAACAAAUAUGAGGAUAAAGGACAUCCUUGUCUAAGCCCCAUAGUGGACCUAAAGAAGGAGGAGGGUGUACCGUUGAUCAAGAUGGAGAACCUCGAUCCUCGGAUGCACCCCAACACCCACUCAAUCCAGGUCUCAUGAAAACCGAAGUACUCCAAAGCGCGUCGCAAGAAACUCCACCGAAUUCUGUCAUAAGCCCGUUCCAUGUCUAGCUUGACAGCCAUCAUGCUUCGUCGCUUAGAGGCCCAUUGAAGAUCCCACAUUAUUUCUUGGGCCAACAUGACGUUAUCAGAGAUAUUCCUACCCCCUACGAAAGCACCUUGCUCCUGGCAAAUGAGGCCUGGCAGCAGAUGCUUCAUCCUACCCACCAUUAUCCUUGCCACCACCUUAUAAAGGGUUGUGUACAAGCUGAUGGGCCUGAAAUGGCCUGGAAAGUCUUCUUCUCAUGGAAUAAUUUAUCCACAUGUAUGGAUUGUCUGUUGAGUUGUCCUAUCCCUUACUCCACUCUUAUUUUGAUAAAGAUUUUGAUGCAAGAAGAUUGUUACCUUGAGUCAUGGAAUCCAUAGUAGUUUGCCACACUUGAAGAUCCACGCAAAAAGUGAGUCUGUCAUGCUUCAAGAUUCGUGUAAGAGGAGAGUGUGAUUGACAAAGGUUUUUUUGGUAGAGAGAGAGAGAGAACCCUGUAUGCAUGUAUUGGAGAAGGGGUCCUCACAAGCUAUUUAUAACUUUCUCCAGAGACUAAUUGCCACGGUGGUUACACCCGUGAAAAGUCACCCCUAUCAAGAUGACUUUUCACCAUUGUGAAAUUUCGUUUAUGCCCUCGUGAUUAUCAGAAUUUACAAAAUUCAAGAGACACUUGUCAAUGUGGGCUUUAACUAAACGAGAUCUAACAUUCUCUCACUUAGACGAUAUUGACACUACUUGUCAAUGUGGGCCACAACUUGUUAAAGUUGCCUCAUGAUUUCACCUGGGGAGUUGGAAAGGACUUAUUUAUGGAACUUAGUAACUUGUUAAAGGUUAAUACGUUGGGUGUUUUGUGUGGGAGUUUUAAUUUAAUAAAAAGAUUAAAAUUUUAAAAAAUAAAUAAACUAGCCUUAUUCUCUAAAUUUUAAAUACUUAUUUUUUUCUUCAAACGUUUUUUCAGAAGAAUUGCGAUUCUUCAAAAAAGAUCGCUGGUUUUCGAAUGGGAUGCGAUGUUUUCAAAACAUCGCAUACCUCGCAAAUGAUGCACCCUAUCAAUUACUAGAUAAAGUCUAUAAAUAGGCUAUGGGUUUAGCAUAUUGGAUAACUCAAUUCACAUUACUACUUCUCUCCUUCCAGAGACAAGAUAGAGAAUUCUUCUCUCUAUUUUUUUUGUCUUAUUCCAAGCUUCUUUUAAGUUUUCUUUUUCAUCUAGACAUCUGAUAUCUGAAGGAGUCGAUUGGGCAAGCCUCCCUAGUGAUCGUACUUGUUAGAGUAGGAUCGGACUGAGUUGGGUUGUUAUACCUUGGGAACAAGACUACCAUAAACCUCACGUAGGAGGUGAAUCACAUUCUUAGAUCAGUGUAUAUCAUACGCCUCAACCUAGCAAGCUUUUUCCAAUCUUCUAAUUUUAUUCCAGUAGAUUAUUCAUUUAUAAUACUUUUAUAAAAUAAAGAUAUAACAAUUUUUAGGUAAACUAUUUCCAACAGUCUAAGAACGUGAUAUUGAUUGUACUAGAAAUUGAUAUAUAUAUAUAUAUAUAUAUAUACACAUACACACACACACAUGUGUGUGUGUGUUUAUUAAAAUUUAAUUUAAUAGCAUAGAAUUAGAUUUAGUCUAAUUGUAUAGUAAUUUGAAAGCCUUAACUUCAUUCAAAAAGUUGUUUUCUUCAUUAAAAAUCAAUUUUUAAGAAAGUCAUAUUACUCUAAAAAUUGUGCAAACAGAUUUCUGCAAUUUUAAAAACCAUAUAGAAAAUUUUUUGCAUAUUUAAAAUCUUUGUAGAAUUUUCUGCAACUUUAAAAAUAAUGCAAUUUUUUUUUUUGCAAAUUAAAAAUUUGUGUAGAAAAUAACUGUAUGUUUAAAAUCCAUAAAGAUUUUCUACAGCUUUAAAUUUUGUGCAACUAUUUUCUGCAAUCUUUAAUUUCUUUGUAGAAUUUUCUACAUCUUUAAAAUUGUGCAGAAUUUUUUUGUAUCUUUUAAAAAAUUGUACAUAAAUUACUAUUGCUUUAGAAACCGUGCAUAUUAUUAGUUGUUUUUUUAAAAUUUCAAUUGUUGCUGCUUUGAAAAAUAUGCAGAAAUUACAGAGUUACUUUACUUACUAUAUUUCUUAGUGUAGUAAUUUAAUUUUAUUAUUAUUAUGGUUCUUUAUUGCAAUUAUUUCAAAAUCUAGAAUUAUAUUCUUGAAACCUAUUAAUUAACUAUUCAAACCAUAGGGCUAAACUCCUUGAAAUUGGUGAUUGCAGAACAAACUAAGCAAACAAAACUUUAUAAAUGGCUUCUCUUGAUGAUCAUAGUUCAAUCAAACCCAAACAAUUUAGUGGUUCUUCUUUUAGAAGGUGGCAAAGCUAAGUAAAAUAUUGGCUCACCAUAUUAGGGUUGAUAUCUGCCAUAAAAUAUUUUGAUCCUAAACCAUCUUCUAGAUCAAUCUCUCAACUAACUCUCUCAUAAUUCUCAAGAUUUUGGAUCCUCUAGCCCUCACUCCAAAACUCCUGAAGAAAUUGACUUCCGUUGCCACCAUAGGAUCCUUAAUGCCUUUAUUGAUUCUUUAUAUGAUGUGUACCUUUCCACUAAAAUAGCUAAAGAAUAUUGGGAUGCUUUUGAAGCAGAAUAUGGAUUAGAUGGUGCCUGACUUGAUUAGUUCUCUGUAUCCAAGUUUCGUAAAUAUGUCAUGAUGGAUUCUAAAUCUAUCAAUGUCUAAAUUCAUAAAUUUUAAGAUAUUAUAAAGGUUGAAUUGACAGGUUGCGAAUUCUCUAAACAUUAUAGAGUCCAAGCCUUGGUUGAUUCUCUCCCUCCAUCUUGGUUGAGUUUUUCUCUUGAGUUAAGUUAUAAGCAAGCUAAUUUAACCCUAUCAGAGAUUAUAAACUCUAUCUGGAUUGAAGAAGAGCAUCGACUUGAACAUAAGCAUAAACCUAAUUUUGGACCCAAGAUCAAUAUGAUCGAAUCAAGUCAAACCUAUUUCAACCCCCAUAGAAAAUUCUUUAAAAGGAAAAAAAAUCUCCAAAUCCUUCAAACCUUGUCUCUUCCUCCAAACCUCCUAAAAGCCAUAACUGUCUAGAUCAGAAGCCAAAAAGAAAAGAGAUCUUCUGCUUCGUGUGCGGAUGGCCAAAUCAUAUAAUGAAGGAUUGAUACCAUAAUAAGACGAAACCUUGGAAGAAAGGAUCACCUAAACCCCAAGUGAAUAUGAUUGAAGAUGGUUCUGGAUCUUUCUUCAGGUUAGAAAGUCAAAACCCUUUGGUUUUCUUUGUCCAUUCUUCUUGUGAUUAGUGGCUUGAUUCCAGGACUAGUUCCAUGUUUGUUUUGAACACUCCCAGUUCUCCACCUUUCAGAAAUCAAGUGGAGGAGAUGUAAUGCUUGGGAAUGACCCCUCAGCACAAGAGUUAGAAAAAGGAUGAGUGGACUUGAAGAUGACAUCGAGAAAAACUCUAAUCCCUCAUAAAGUGUUAGUCAUCCCCAAUGUUAGGAGGAAUCUCAUCGGUGAAUCUCUUUUUGUAUCUAAAGGUUAUAAGAUGGUAUAAGAAUCUAAUAAGUCUGUAAUCACUCGUAAUAAUAGGUUUGUUGGAAAAGGCUUGUAUCUGAAGGCCUAUUCAAAUUGAGUGUAAUUCUUAAAAAUUCUAAUAAAAAUCAUUAUUUUGUUCUAAAUCUUGAAUCUUCUAAUAUUUGGCAUGGUAGGCAUGGAAAAAGGCUCUUUUAGUAGCAUGUUCCAUCCUAAAUAGAAUACCUUUUAAAGAUAGUAAUAAGACACUUUUUGAACUCUAGAAGGGUAAAACUCCUAGAUUAGAUUACCUUAAAGUGUGGGGGGUGCCUAGCUAAAGUAACUAUAUCUGAACCUAAGAAAAGAAAAAUUGGUCCUAAAACCAUAGAUGCAAUCUUUGUAAGAUAUUUCUUAGAUAGUAGCACAAAUCGAUUCUUUGUAAUUAAUUCUAAGAUAAGUGACAUCUCUAAUAACACUCUCACCGAGGUUGGAGAUGCUACUUACUUUAAAAAUAUUUUUUCUUUUAAAAACUAAAUACCUAAUCAAAUUCAAUAUGAUCUAUCAUCUAACCCUGGCCUUGUUGAAUCAGAGGUUCUUUGUGAUUCUAGAAAGAGGAAGAUGUCUAUGAUCAUGGACCUUCUGAACCUAGAAGGAGCACAAGGACUAGAAAGAAAAAGGACCUUGGUGAAGGUUUCUUUACUUUUCUAGUUGAAGGUAAACCUUUGACAUUUGCAAAAGCAAUGUCUUCAUCAGAUGUUCCUUUUUGGAAGGAAGCUAGUCCUUCUGAAUUCAACUCAAUUAACCAAAAUUAGACUUGGAUCCUAACUGAUCUUCCUCCAUGUAGUAAACCAUUAGGUUGUAAGUGGGUAUUAUGUAGGAAACUUAGACCCGAUGAGUCAAUAGAAAAAUAAAAAGCUAGAUUAGGAGCUAAGGGUAUAACCAAAAAAAGAGUUUAGAUUAUUUUGAUACCUAUUCUCCUGUAGCUAGAAUCUUUACCCUUAGAACUCUCAUUGCCAUUGCUUCUAUCUAUAAGUUGAUCAUUUAUCAAAUAGAUGUGAAGAAUGCAUUUCUAAAUGGAGAUCUAAAUGAAGAGAUCUACAUGGAACAACCAAAGAAUUUAUUGUAAAAGGGGCAAGAGAACAAAGUUUACAAACUUGUUAAGUCCUUAUACGGUCUCAAAUAGGCACCUAAAUAAUGGUAUAAAAAUUUUGAUAGAACCAUCUCUUUCCUUUGGUUUCUCCAUCAAUGAUCAUGACGAGUAUGUCUAUUUCAAAAUCACUAAUAAUGAUUGUGUGAUCCUUGAUUUAUAUAUUAAUGAUUUAGGUGAAGAUCUUUGAAACUUCUCUUAAAAUUAUAUCUAAAAUCAAACAAUUCUCUUCAAGUUACUUUGAUAUAAAAGAUCUAGGUGAAGCUGAUAUCAUCCUAGGGAUGAAGCUGAUUAGAUCCCUUGAAGGGAUAGCUCUCUCCCUGGCUCAUUCCAUCAAGAAAAUGAUUCAAAAAUUUGGUUACGCUGAUCAAAAAUCUAUGUCUACUCCUUAUGAACUAAGUAUUCAUUUUAAAAAAAUUAGAUAAAUCAGUUGAUCAAAUCAAAUAUUUUCAAAUCAUAGGUUCUCUCCUAUAUAUGGCAGACAAGACAAGACCUGAUAUUGCCUAUGCUGUAGGGAGACUAAGUAGAUAUACUCAAAAUUCAAAUCAAUUUUAUUGGUUGGCCGCUAAAAGGGUAUUUCAAUAUCAUAAGCAAACCCUAGAUCUAUCUCUUUUUUAUACUGGAUACCAUGGGGUGAUUGAGGGUUACAGUGAUGCAAAUUGAAUACUGAUUCUCUUGAUCUUAAAUCAAUCAUUAGAUAUCUCUUUAUUCUUGGUGGUGCUGCUAUUACUUGGGGAUCAUCCAGGCAAACUAUUCUAUUUUGGAGCACUAUGGAGGCCGAGUUGAUUGCUCUAGAUAAUACCUAUACUGAGGUAGAGUGGAUUAAAAAUUUUAUCUCAGAGCUACCUUUAGUAUUUAAGCCAGUUCCAACCAUCUCAAUCUAUUAUGAUAAUAAAGCCAUGAUAGAACUGACAAAUCAAAAGGGUACUAAUGAAAAGAUGAACCGACGUAUCCAUAUUCGUCAUAAAUUUGUGAAAUAACUCAAAAAGAGUAAUGUCAUUUCUUUAGAAUUUGUCAAGUCUAAAAAAAACCUAGCAAAUCAAUCAACCAAGAGUUUGUCUAGGAGUGAAGUUCUAGAAUCAUCGAGGAGAAUAGGGCUUAAGCCCACUAUUUGGUCACCGAUAGUAGAAACACAACCUCUGUGAUUGGAGAUUCCAUGAAGGAAGUUCAAUAUGGUAAAAAUGAAACUAAUUGAGUGAUUGUGUCUAGGCAUAUUUUUUGAAGCAUAUCUUCUUCCAUCCUUAUAAUGAAUGCUUUUAUCAGUAACAAAAAAUUAUAUUGGAAAGAUUGAGUUAUACCCUUAAUGAGUCCACGAUAGAAAUUAUGUAGGGUAUUAAGUCAUAAAUAGCUUUGGAGAACUUAUCUAUGUGAGAAUUGUCAUAUAGGCCAUGACUAUGUAUUUGAUUUAAUCCUAACAAAAUUCUCAUAAAAAAUCAAGAUAUUAAGCGCAAGGCCUUUACAUGACGCUAACCGCAUAAAGAUAUAAUUAAUUCAUAAUAUGUGUGAUAAGUAGAAGUUUGAGUCAAAGAAUAUAGUUAAAGGUCUAAUCCACUAUUGUUCUUUCAGAUAGAUACUAUCAACACUAAGUGAGAUUCAAGUCCAUGGGACACCUCACCUAUUGCAGAGUAUAAGUUGCCCAGAUGUUCUUCUUUAACUUUAAAUCUUUUGUGGAAGAUUGUUGGAAUUUUAAAUUUAUAAAAAAAUAAAUAUAAAAAAUAAAUAAACCAGCCUUAUCUCCACAAUUUUAGAUAGUUUAAUAGUUUAAAUACUUUAAAAUACUUAUCUUUUUCUUCAUACACUUUUUUCAGAAGAGUUGCGAUUCUUUGGAAAAGAAAAUUGGUUUCCGAAUGGGAUGCGAUGUUUUCGAAAUAUCGCGUACCUCAGAAAUGCCGCACCAUAUCGGUCACUAGACAGAGGCUAUAAAUAGGUUCUGAGUCCAGUGUAUUGGAUAAUUCAAUCCACAUUACUAUUUCUCUACCUCAUGAGACGAGAUAGAGAAUUCUUCUUUCUUUUUUCCUUUUCUUUUCUUCUAAACUCUUUUCAAGUUUUUUUUUCAUUUGGGCAUCCAAAGGAGUCAGUCAGAUCAAACCUCUCCAGUAAUCGUGCUCAUUCGAGGCAUGUGAUAUAUCUCCAACAUUUUGUUUAUAAAGAAGUCUCAAGCUCCUUUGUUUAUCAAGUGUGUAUAUAUAUAUAUAUAUAUAUAAAGAAUUAAUCUAAAAAAAUAUAAGGAAAAGAAUUUAAAUAGAUUCAGAACAAAUUGCCAUUGGGACCUAUCCUUGAGUUCCCAGGGUUAUAAAAUUUUGUUAAUUUUGAAAAGGAAAAGGAACGUGUCUGCUGGGAACCAGCCUUUGAUGGGUCCUAACGGUCAAAUGGCUGUUUUGUUGUAAAUUAAAAAUACUUUAACAAAUUGACGUUCUAAUAGGCCAGGAUUUUGCACCCAUUCAGAAGGGGAUCAUCAGAGAGAUCCUGGCCCAAAGAACUAUUAUGUCAUUGUGGCCGUGGGCUGGCCUACCCCAAGUAUACUGUGUGACUUAUACAUUCAGAAAAAACAAACUCUGAAUCCCAUGUUAAUUGGAGUUCAAGAAAAUGGAAUUACAAAUGUUUAAUUGAAUUCGAUAUUUCACCAGAAAAAAGAGUGUAUAGUCUGCAAAUUUGGUGUAUUUCAUUUUGUUAUUGUUCACAUAUCUAAGAAGAAUUUGAUGAAGCAAUUCAUUGUUAAAUCAGAAUAUUGGUGAUAAAUAUGGUGACAAUGUUUAAGGACUCAUUAUAAUUAUUUUACUCAGGCAUAUCUUUAUAUGUCCACCAAUGGAGGGGGGCAGGAGUAGCAUUGCACCCAUAUGCAUUGUGAGGCAUUGGCGUGCUUCACUGCUUCAUUUAAAAAUGAACAUAUUCCACCAUUACAUGUGAGCUAAUGCUUGCAUAAGAUCUUGCUUAAUGGGAAAUAUAAAAGAAUUAUGGUGUUCGUGAUAUAGACUAAUAGCACAGAAUAUUGUGGGUUAUAAUCUUUGGCUUACGAUGCCAUUUGUGUGGGUUGCAUCUUGAUGUCUUUCUUCUAUAGAUUUGACUAAACCAAUCAAGCUUUAGAUUCCUCUAAUCUCACUGCCAAGACAGCUAUCUUGUUUCUUCUUGCAAACUUAUAACAGAAAUUACCUACAGUCUAUGCCGAAUCGAUAUUUUCAUACACCAAUCCAUUUGCUUGACAUAAAGUGCAGAAAUAAUGUUACUGCAAAGGAAGCAAUCUGGUUUUAUGAGCAACCACUUCAUAUCAAGCAAUUAUUUCUUUUUAUUAGUUACUAUUUUGGUCUAGUUUGAAUAUGUACUAUUUUUUUUUCUUUUCUUUUUUUCUUUUUUAAAGAUACAGGAGUGAAACAAUCAACCUAUUUAUAUUGGUAGACCAAAAAGAGAUAUUAUAUUUUAUAGGAUUAACGGAAUAUUAUAGAACAUUGUAGGAUUAACUGUAGGUAAGGGAAUAGCCCUUUUAACUUUCUCAUUGGUCAUAUACUUUCUGUUGGAUAAGAAAUUGUAACAAAACUAAAUUGCUCUGUCUCAUAUUUGAACAAUCACACUUUCACCCAUGUAAAUCUUAUACCUAGAGAUGAAAGAAAGUUUUCUCUUUUUAGAAAAUAAGUAAUAUAGGCACCGUCUCUAUGAGUUUGAAAUCCAGAUCUCUCUUGCUGCACCGAGAAGAGAGGUUGUCACUAAUGAAAUCAAAAACAGUGGCACUUCUAUUAGUCAACCUUGUCUUUCCAAUUGCACUAACAACAAUAACAAUUUGCUCUUUUUCUUGAUAUUUCUUAAUUAUGCCAAACAAGUAUUUUACAGUCCAUUUUGGUUCCAAGUAGUUGUGAUUACAUGUAACUAGAACAACAUGUAAGCAUGUAACGCUAAUUGUGGCAAUUUUAGUUAUCUAAAUACGUUUGGUUGUUUAUAUAACACUAUUUUCAAUAUUUGGGUUGAUGUAACUUUCUUGUAUCUAAGUGGUCUCAAAAGGAGACCGAUCACUUGGAAUUAGUGUUAAAAGUUAAGGUAAAGCACGGAAGUGCAUAGUUACUGUUGCCGCUGAGAACUAACUGGCCCUAGGCACCGCAGCGAGAAGUGCGACAAUGCUAGAGAGCUCGAUGGUCGGUUGCUUUGGUCAGAAUUGGACAAGGUGAGCGGCAUUCGGUCAUUGCAACCGAGAUCCUCACCGGAUGGUGGCCGUCCGACCCGAAACAGCAUAGAGCAAGAAGUUCUCUUUCUAAAACGUAUCCAACGAGGGGCCCUCCAGUGCCUAAGUCAAUGUCGUAAUUAGGAAAUAGGAGGAGAUUAUUUUUCAGUCUGUUAGGGUAUGCUUCCUUUCUUACCUCCUCUACCCUUCUUUUUUUGUAUAUAUUCGGUAGGAGCCUACCUACCAUAAGAGAAUUAAGGCAUGUGGGUCAACCAUAAGUGACUGGCUUGAGUACGGCCUAAACAUCAAACGAGAAUGCUCCGCACAUAGACAACGUCUUCCCUAUCACAUCGGUGGGAUCUUGAUGAUCAUUGGAUCCUUCUGUUAAGAAGUGGUCAACUAUAGGGAGCUCCUGAUAUGCAAGCUUGGCGGUAUGGUGCCGGGCUAGGCAGUAUGGCGCUGGGCCCGCCUAGUGACCGUUCCCGAUCUACCACGUGUCGACAUUGUGGCGUGUGUUAAUUGGUUGGACCUUCUAGUGAGCUUUAGCCGGUUUGGAGGUGUAUCAUUUGCACCCUAUUUACGCAACAGAGCCGGGCUAUCUUGCUCGGGUUGCGAAAUUAGUUUUUCUAGAAGAGCUGCUUUAAUGAAGAUCGCCGAGGAGGAUGCAUGGUGCCUUGUCAUUGAAAAAAUAAAGAAUUUUCAAAUUCUAUAUUUUUGAAGGGCGUGGCCCUAUUGUCCUUGCCGAAGUGCCAUAAUCAUGGGUGAGGCGUCCAUGAGUUUAAUAGGCGUCUGGGUCUCGGCAGCGAUCCGAAUGAAUCGUCUUGGGAAAAAUGGCUAAGAAACACCGAUCUAAGUCUAGGUAAAGCAUUGCCACGAAAGGGGUUGCUUAAAUCCUCGAUAAAUAGAAAAGGCUGCACUUGUAGCCCAUUCACCUCAUUCUUUUACUUCUCUAAAACAAUAGAGAGAGAGAGAGGAGUGUGAAGUCGUAGGGCCUGACUUGUGCACUCCUGUUGCAAGGUUCUCCUUUCUUAUGCCGACCAGAAUCUUGUCUUUGCUUUCCGGUGGGUUGUUCUUCUUUUCUCCCCUUGUUGUCUUCUUCUCCUCAUCUUCUUUUUCUUUAUUUAGAGAAUAUUCAUGGACCCAUCUGCUGGAGGUCAGUAUCCCGACGAUGAGAUAAUGGGUCAGGGUUCUCCUGACUAGGUCUUUGUGGCCUCGAGGGUAGUUCUUCUUGAGGUAUCUUUAGGUUCGGAUACUAAGAUAAGGCUUGUAGGGGAGUCCGACUUUGAUCGGAUCAUAAUGGCAUUUUUCAUUUUUGAGAACUUUAUCCUUGGCCCCCCUAGUCCUUCAGAUCAGGUGACUUCGCCCGGGGAGAGCCGGAUAGCCUUGUAUCAGGAGUCCCUGAAAGCAGGGAUAAGGCUCCCAAUUCCAUCGGUUAUCAUCAUUGGCCAAGUACCAAUCAUCUUCGUACAGCUCAUCCCCAAUGCUUGGAGGAUGAUUGUGGAUUUUCUUUGCUUUUUUCGGCUUCAAAGGAUCAUCCUAGUGUUGGAGAUGUUUCAGGCCUUCAUUCAAGUGAAGGCCCAUCCUCAAAAUAAGAGGUGGUGGUACCUUUCUUAUAGGAAGGGUUUUAACGUCCUUCCUUCUUGCCCUUCGUCCUUCCACGAAUGGAAGGGUUAGUAUUUUUGUGUCUUCGACAAUUCCUUCGCAUUUUCCGGCCCUAUGGAGGACACCCGAGAGGCAGUCCUUGAGCCUCUUUCCCUUUUUGUCAAAUGAAGAGUAUGAGUCUAUUAAUCUGCUUCGUCUGAUGAGGACUUCAUCUUUGGCCGGCUACUUCGGUAGUCUACCUUGGUCAAUGCCGGCUUGAGUUCUGCCUCUUCUGUCGGUAUAUUUUCUCAUCAUAUCAUGCUUCUCUUUUGUCGAUUUGAAUCUAUGACUAACCCAUUCCUCUCCCAUUCUUCAAACCAGGAAGUUUGAGGUGGAAGAACUCUUCCGCUUCUCGAGGAAGAGAAAAUCCGGUGAGGGCAGUUCUUCCUUGGGUAAGAGGAGUGUACUCGUGGGACUAGUCAUCAGAAUUGAAAACAAGCCUGCCGGCGGAGGAUCAUCGGAGGUGGAGAUGCUUACUGUCCUCCCUGUUAGUGUACCAUCAUCUGCUCCGGUGGCCACUUCAAUUUUUGGGAUGGCCUUUACGGCCAUUCCGGUUUCGCCAGCUGCGCUAGAGGUUGCAUGUCCUUCUUUGGCCCCGAUAGAGGGGUUGCAUUCUUCCAUCCUUGCACCACCACCGGACUACAUGCUAAGGUGUCUGGGCCAGCCUUCAACCCUCCCGUUGGGGGUACACAGAAAUUGAUGUCUUCACUCUAGCCAGUUCCACAUAGCACGAAGUCAGAGACCUUUGUACUGAUUAGUGAGGGUCUCUAACUUGGUACAGUGCCCGGGCGAUCCCCAGGUGAUGUGGGCGAUGGUCUAGGGAUUCAUGCUCCCUGGUGACGAGGAGGAACUACGGCAGAGACUACUGGAGAGUGUGAUCAACUUGUCCUGCUACAACACUAUUGUGGUAAUUAGACUGGCUCUUUCAUCUAUUUGUUGUUUUUGAAUAAUCAAUCUUUUCCUUAUUUUUGUAGGAAGUGUACGCUGCCCGCAUACUUAUUGAGGUCAUAUGCUCCCAUCAGUGAAAGUUGGAGGUCUCAGACCGCCUCCUCCAAAAGGCAAAGAGCAGCAGGGCCCGUGCCGAGGCAUAACGACGGAGAUUGAGAAGAAAAGAGAGGAGGUCGAGGCAUAUACUCGCUUCUUCAGCUCCAAAGCUGAGAGUUCCCAGACAUAGCUAGGAUAGAUGGUUGCUUGGCUGCGGGAGAUGCAGCAACCAUCAGUGAGGAAGGGGCCUGCACGAGGAAGGAGACCGAUGUGGAGAUUGCCCGCCAGUAGAACGCGGUAACUGCAACCGAGCUUCGGGCCUCCCGGGCUGAGCAGAGGUUUACUUGGGCAAAGGAUAGAGCUGCCUAGUCCGAGGAGAGGGCCGACCUCGCCACCAAAGAGGUCAUCCGGGGAAAGGAGAAGGCCUGCCAAGCCGAAGAGAGGGCCCGACAUGUUGUUGUAGAUUACAAGGUUUAUAUAGAGUUCCGCAACAAGAUGCUCAAGGCCGCUAGGGACUCCUUCAAGAAGGGGUUAACCAUUUGUCGGGAAGAAUCCAUAAGGUGGAUCCUAAGCUCGACCUCAGCUUGGUCACCAAGUGCUCGGAUGAGGAGGCCUUUCUUCAUGGAUCAAGGAGCAAGGUUGAAGAAGAAGAAGAGGAAUAGGAGGAAGAACAAAAAGAAAAGGAGAGGAGAGAUGAAUGAUUGUAUAUGCCAUUGCUGGUCUCUCAUUUUCUUCUCUUUUUUUUGUGUGUUAGCUCGGCUGUGAGCCGUUGUUUUAUACUAUCUCUUUUUUUUCUAGAUGAAUGAAAUGAAAGUCUGCUCAUCUUUUUAUUUACUUGAUAGCACGAUUUGAACUGGUGUUGUAAUAACUUGGCCCAAUUUUUUUGGGCUUAUGGGCCGGCCAAAAGAGGCCAGGCCCAAUUGACGCGAGCCCUAUUGCUCGCGAUGGAUGAAGGAGAAGACUCCCAAUCAGAGUCUUCUUCCUCCUCCGAUUCUAGUGAAAAUCAGACCUAUCUAGGACAAUCUGACUCAAACUCUAAGAACUUGGCUAUUAAAUUCUCCUCCUCCUCCUUAGAUUUUUUCUACUGGAAUUGUCAAGAAUAGCCAUCGAUUUCAAGCCCUCUUCCUCAAAACCUCGCUGAAAGCUUCGCCGCACCGAGGUAAGAGUUUCUCGUCUUCUCCUCCUUCCUUUCUUGGUAUUUUAGCCUUGAUUUGCCCUGAUUUGGGUUAGUAAAUUGCCGGAAUUUGAUCUGAAACAAGGGUGCCCUAUUUUGGCUUCUUCCUUUUGUGCUCACCGCCAUAAGUCGCCUGAAAAAAGGCCAAGCCUUGCCGCCCCUAGGGAGCCCUAAGAUUCAUAUGGUGGUGGGUUAGGGAAUUAGCCAUGGUUCAAGCUAAGUUGCCAUGGAUCAUCCUCCAUCUUUUUGGGGAUCUUUUUUCCUUCUCUCUUGUGCCGACUGGCCACCAUCACCAACGAGGCAGCGGCCGACGGGCCUCCCGUGGCCACCGUCCUCGGGGUUGGCCACCAUGGCUACCGCCCCCUUGAUCUUCUUUCUCUCUCCUCUCUCCUCUCUUUACUUUCUAUAUAGAAGAUCCAAGGAACCCAGAAUCGGGUCAUGUUGACCUGAUCUACGAAUCUGAGUUGAUCCCUGAAAAGAAGUCCUAAACUGUCCUAGUGCCAGAGUCGCCUACUGGACUAAUCACCCGGCCUUGUCAAGUGUCCAUGGAACCCACUGAUAAUGAACUAUGUUAAACGACCUUGACCCUAAUCGAGUCCAUGCUUCAUGAUUAUUGAUCGAAUCACUUUGGCUUGACCCACUCGAAAUCAUCAAGUGCUCAUCCCUAUUUCUUAUUAUUUUAAUUUGAUUAAAAUCGUCAAACAUAAAUUAAUUUCACCUUUAAUAUUUUUAUAGGGUUAACUAAGUUGCCUAGUGAAGAAUGAUGGUCUAAGAUGAAAGAGUAAGUAGAUCUUGCACUCAUUGUUUUUUAGAUGAUCAUAUUUUCCAUGCAUAAAUUUGUGUGUGAAAAUAUCAUACUUUUUAUAAAAUUAUGUAUCAACAUAUGUAUUAUGAAAAUCAUGCUUUAUUAUGAGAAAUAGUUUCAUGAAUAUUUUGAUGAAUAUAGUUUUGUUAUGAAAUACGAAUCUAAUCAUGCCAUUUAAUGUUUUUAUCUAUUUAUAUGUAUCUUUUACAAAAAAGAUAUAAGUUUUUAAAGGUUCUCAGAUUGCUAUGACCACCCUUAGAAAUGGGGGUCAAUCGAUAUCUUGGAGCUAACAUCCAACAAAAAUGACCCUCUGCCAAUGGGUUAAAGUGGGUAACGAAUACGAACUAUGAUAUCUUAUUAAUUACACAAAUGGCUUUGUCAUGGGUUAUAGGGAUCAGAGCAAUGUUUUGAUCCAUAAUAGGAUUAAAGGACAUGAUGAACGAUUUAUGAAUUUAUUUGUAAUAUGAACUUAGUACUAUGUUUAUAAAAUAUGAAUGGUUUGUUCAUGUAUGAUUUACUUUAGGACUUAUUUUAAUAUAUUGUACUAUGAAAUGCUUAUUUUAGAAUAUUUGUUACUUUUCUUAAAUGAUGCAUUGACAUAGAAAAACUUAUGCUUGAUCCGGUAAGGUAGUAAAAUGUUUACUUACUGAGCUAUGUUGCUCAUAUAUCUCUAUUUUUUCUUUCUCUCUCAGACAAAUAGGAUCGAUAGAAAUGAAGGAUAGUCCAGGCUUGGAGUUAGUACUAGCAAGCUUGGCGAUUUAUACUAGAGCAGAACUUUAGUUCUUCAGUAGAUUAUGAAUUUGUAGUUAGUGAUUUCCGAAUAGUAAAGAUUUUGGGUUUGGUACUUAUGUUUGGCUUUAGAUCUAUUGAAGAAGUAUUUGAAAUUGUUUAGAGGUCACCACCGGAACUUUCUAUUGCUUUAGUAGGGGUGGAGCCUUUGUGGGCUCUAUAAGAGCCGCCGAACUCCUCCCGCAUGUUCGGCUGGGGAUUAGAAGGUACUAGCUACGCCCUUUGAGACUCCAUAGUGACAAGAGACAAAACCUCCUAGGGUGGUCUAGGCCCUUCCUCUAGUGCCAAUCUAUUGCCGCUGAGAACUAAAUGGCCUUAGGCACCGUGGUGAAAAGUGCAAUAAUGCUAGAGAGCUCGAUGGUCGGCUGCCCUAAUCAGAAUUGGAGAAGUCGAGAGGCGCUCAGUCGCUACAGUCAAGAUCCUCAUCGGAUGGCAGCCCUCUGACUUGAAACAACAUAGAGUAAAGAAGUCUUUUGGCCAGAACUUAUUCAGCGGGAGACCCUCCAAUACCUAAAUCAGUGUGGUAAUCAGGGAACAGAAGGAGGUUGUUUUUCGGUUUGUUAAGAUGUUCUUCCUUUCUUACUUCCUCUGCCCUCCCUUUUUGUGUAUAUCCAGUGGAGAAGCCUAUCUGCCACCAAAAAAUUAGAACAUAUGGGUCGACUAGAAGUCACUGGUUUGAGUAAAUUCUGAACAUCAGGUGUGAAUGCUUCGCACGUGGGCGACAUCCUGCCUAUCAUAUCGAUAGGAUCUUGAUGAUUACUCAAUCUCCCAGUUAGGAUGGGGUCAAUUGUGGGGAGCUCCUGAUAUGCAAGCUCGACGGUAUGGCUUGGGCCUGCCUAGUGACUGGUCCUAAUCCACUAUCUGUUGGCACCGUGGUGUGUUUUAAUUGAUUGGACCUUCUCGUAGCUAUAGCUGGUUUGGAGGUGUAUCAGUUACAAUUAUAAGCUUGUUGUAAGAACCCACGAUCUCACCCAAAAAAGCUAGCCGAAAGGUAUUAUUGGAUUUUUUAGUCCUGUAUAAGUAUCCAAAAUUUUUUAGUAAAUAAUUGAUGUGGGACUAAACAUACGCUCGUACAAGUUCUCACACUUGCAGACCUACUAAAUCAGAUGCUAGAAAAAGUGGUAGAUGCUGCUCUCAAAGGUCUUUUUUCUUGGCAGACAUGUAUUUUAACAACAUCCUAAACAAAGACACAGCUCUCAAUAUCAAACAUGUGCCUUGGGGAUUGUGGGUUGACCAUUUUUUUUCGUUGGUAGAACAUAGGCAAAUCUCAGUAGAUUUUAUUAAUUAACAUUAUAGUACAUACAAACUAAGAUUCUAUAGUCUACACAAACAACUGCACAUACUCGGCAUGCAACCAAAAGGGCAACAUUGUGGGUGUAGCCUCUCAACUAGCUGAGGACAAAAAGGAACAAUUAACAGAACGUUGCUAUGCAUCCAAACUAAGGAUCUAUGGCAUGGCCAGCACAAGGAUGAAAACACCAGUAGAACAAACUCGUGCAUGGCUUCACCAUGCAGACUAGAUAGGUCCGUGGAUGGGGACGACUUAGAUGAUGGCAUUUUUUUUUUGUUAAGUCGAGCAAUUCACACUAUUCUAGUAUAAANNNNNNNNNNNNNNNNNNNNNNNNNNNNNNNNNNNNNNNNNNNNNNNNNNNNNNNNNNNNNNNNNNNNNNNNNNNNNNNNNNNNNNNNNNNNNNNNNNNNNNNNNNNNNNNNNNNNNNNNNNNNNNNNNNNNNNNNNNNNNNNNNNNNNNNNNNNNNNNNNNNNNNNNNNNNNNNNNNNNNNNNNNNNNNNNNNNNNNNNNNNNNNNNNNNNNNNNNNNNNNNNNNNNNNNNNNNNNNNNNNNNNNNNNNNNNNNNNNNNNNNNNNNNNNNNNNNNNNNNNNNNNNNNNNNNNNNNNNNNNNNNNNNNNNNNNNNNNNNNNNNNNNNNNNNNNNNNNNNNNNNNNNNNNNNNNNNNNNNNNNNNNNNNNNNNNNNNNNNNNNNNNNNNNNNNNNNNNNNNNNNNNNNNNNNNNNNNNNNNNNNNNNNNNNNNNNNNNNNNNNNNNNNNNNNNNNNNNNNNNNNNNNNNNNNNNNNNNNNNNNNNNNNNNNNNNNNNNNNNNNNNNNNNNNNNNNNNNNNNNNNNNNNNNNNNNNNNNNNNNNNNNNNNNNNNNNNNNNNNNNNNNNNNNNNNNNNNNNNNNNNNNNNNNNNNNNNNNNNNNNNNNNNNNNNNNNNNNNNNNNNNNNNNNNNNNNNNNNNNNNNNNNNNNNNNNNNNNNNNNNNNNNNNNNNNNNNNNNNNNNNNNNNNNNNNNNNNNNNNNNNNNNNNNNNNNNNNNNNNNNNNNNNNNNNNNNNNNNNNNNNNNNNNNNNNNNNNNNNNNNNNNNNNNNNNNNNNNNNNNNNNNNNNNNNNNNNNNNNNNNNNNNNNNNNNNNNNNNNNNNNNNNNNNNNNNNNNNNNNNNNNNNNNNNNNNNNNNNNNNNNNNNNNNNNNNNNNNNNNNNNNNNNNNNNNNNNNNNNNNNNNNNNNNNNNNNNNNNNNNNNNNNNNNNNNNNNNNNNNNNNNNNNNNNNNNNNNNNNNNNNNNNNNNNNNNNNNNNNNNNNNNNNNNNNNNNNNNNNNNNNNNNNNNNNNNNNNNNNNNNNNNNNNNNNNNNNNNNNNNNNNNNNNNNNNNNNNNNNNNNNNNNNNNNNNNNNNNNNNNNNNNNNNNNNNNNNNNNNNNNNNNNNNNNNNNNNNNNNNNNNNNNNNNNNNNNNNNNNNNNNNNNNNNNNNNNNNNNNNNNNNNNNNNNNNNNNNNNNNNNNNNNNNNNNNNNNNNNNNNNNNNNNNNNNNNNNNNNNNNNNNNNNNNNNNNNNNNNNNNNNNNNNNNNNNNNNNNNNNNNNNNNNNNNNNNNNNNNNNNNNNNNNNNNNNNNNNNNNNNNNNNNNNNNNNNNNNNNNNNNNNNNNNNNNNNNNNNNNNNNNNNNNNNNNNNNNNNNNNNNNNNNNNNNNNNNNNNNNNNNNNNNNNNNNNNNNNNNNNNNNNNNNNNNNNNNNNNNNNNNNNNNNNNNNNNNNNNNNNNNNNNNNNNNNNNNNNNNNNNNNNNNNNNNNNNNNNNNNNNNNNNNNNNNNNNNNNNNNNNNNNNNNNNNNNNNNNNNNNNNNNNNNNNNNNNNNNNNNNNNNNNNNNNNNNNNNNNNNNNNNNNNNNNNNNNNNNNNNNNNNNNNNNNNNNNNNNNNNNNNNNNNNNNNNNNNNNNNNNNNNNNNNNNNNNNNNNNNNNNNNNNNNNNNNNNNNNNNNNNNNNNNNNNNNNNNNNNNNNNNNNNNNNNNNNNNNNNNNNNNNNNNNNNNNNNNNNNNNNNNNNNNNNNNNNNNNNNNNNNNNNNNNNNNNNNNNNNNNNNNNNNNNNNNNNNNNNNNNNNNNNNNNNNNNNNNNNNNNNNNNNNNNNNNNNNNNNNNNNNNNNNNNNNNNNNNNNNNNNNNNNNNNNNNNNNNNNNNNNNNNNNNNNNNNNNNNNNNNNNNNNNNNNNNNNNNNNNNNNNNNNNNNNNNNNNNNNNNNNNNNNNNNNNNNNNNNNNNNNNNNNNNNNNNNNNNNNNNNNNNNNNNNNNNNNNNNNNNNNNNNNNNNNNNNNNNNNNNNNNNNNNNNNNNNNNNNNNNNNNNNNNNNNNNNNNNNNNNNNNNNNNNNNNNNNNNNNNNNNNNNNNNNNNNNNNNNNNNNNNNNNNNNNNNNNNNNNNNNNNNNNNNNNNNNNNNNNNNNNNNNNNNNNNNNNNNNNNNNGGUCAUGCCGAGCUUAGCCUUUAGGUUAAGCAGGCCAUGCCAGGCACGACCUGUUUGGUUUGUGGCGCGGUGGGCUUGGGCCGGGCCCGGCACGGCCCGAUGCCCAUCUCUACUCUAUAGAGAAGUGCAGGAGUUGUUGCUAUUAACAGUUUACUAUGAUGUUCGGACAGCUAACCCUAAUGUCCAGCAGUCAAUAUAUUUGCAUGAGUCUCGAACAAUGGAAGAUUUGAUCAAGCAGCCACACAUUUAACUAGAGGUGUAGUCGAGCCAAGCUUGAUCUAGCCUAGAUUUGAUGCUUAAUUCAAAUCUAAAUAAUAUUUAAUGGGUUCAAAAUUUAAAUUGAAAUUCAAGUUCAAAAUACUUCUGAACCUAGGAUCCAAUGAUCAUUUUGAUGAUAUAUAUAUAUAUAUAUAUGUGUGUGUGUGUGUGUGUGUGUGUGUGUGUGUGUGUGUGUAUGUAUAAUAUAUAAUUUUGAGUCUAAUUGAAAUGAGCCACUAUCUAAAUCGAUAAUAUAUGUUAUGUAUAAUAUAUAUUUUUGAGACUAGUCAAACUUAGUCCGAUCAAGCUAGGUAUAUUCUAGCUAUGCUCGAAAUUGAUUUCGAGCAUAUAUUACUGAUUCAAGCUUGAUUCUUUUAGCUUCGAAUGAAACUUGAAUUGAGCUUUUUUUCAAGCUGAGCUCGAACCAAGCUUGAGACAUUCAAAUGGUUUAACACCCCUAACUAUAUAUGUAUUUUAACUAUUCACUUUUAAUAUGACCUAAUUAUGUCACAGAUUUAGAUGUACGCAAGCUUAUCCCAUGCAUGAUGGCUAUUCUUUUGUUUUGAAUUAGUGACCUUUACAUCAUAAUAGAGUAGAUUUACUAAUAUACCAAAAGCUCAAUCUAACCUAUUUGCAUGCAAAACUGUAGGAAACAUUUUAUGCUUAUCAUUACAACAAAUGACUAUCAAGAAUGAUAUGAACCUCAACUUUCACUAGCCAACGGUCGUUUAAACAAUUAUAUACCAUAUAUGUUAAUUUUUUUUUCUUAAACAAAUCACCUUGGGGUUCAUUUGGUUGGGGAUAAUCUGGUAUAAAAAAAUAAAUUUCAUAUCAGAAUACCAUAUUUGGUUAAAAAAGAAGAUAAAAAAAAAUGAUAAGUCCCACGCUUAUUUUUACUAAGAGAGAAGGUAAAAUAAAUAUUACCAAAAAGGUAGUAUUUUUUUUGCCAUACAAGAGUUACAAGUAAAGGUAAUCUAAAAUUAUCAUUGCUUGACAAAAACUAAUAUAUUAAUUAUAUAUAUUAUUAUUAUAUUUAAUAUAUUUACAAGUUAUUUAUUAUAAUUAAUAUAAUAAAUUAAUUUAUUAUAUUAAAAUAUUAAGAAUAUUAUUUAUGAAUAAUAAUAUAAUUAUGAAUAAAUAAAGACUAAGGUAAAUAUAUAUUAGUUAUUAAUAAAUCUAACAUGGGUAUUAUUAAUAAUUAUAUUUAUUAAUACACAAAAUUUAUUUAUAUUAAGGAAUAUAUUUUUUUAAUAUAUAAUUAUUUUAAAAAUAUUUAUUAACUCUUCUAAAUAUAUUUUAGUAUUCAAAAUGGCCUUUGUUGAUAGUCUUUAUGUAAGGCUAUAAAUGGCCAACAAAUGGAAUGAACAAAAGAUGUCAUCAUUUGAAUUAUUUACUCAAGGACAUUAUUAAAAAUUUUGGUAAUAUUUUUUUAUAAAAUUACCUCUAACUAAAUAUAGUAAUCUUUUUUUGGUACUAUUUUUCAAAAUAAAUGUGGCAAAAUUUAUUUUCUCUUGCAAUUAUUUUUUUAGGUAAAUGAUUUUAUAGGAAUCAUCAAAUUACUCUAUAAUCUGAGAUGCAUCAAUAAAGCAAAUCUUUAAAGAAAAAACCCUCUACCUCCGGAACAAGUCCUAGGUGCUCAACCAAGCCAACCUAGAGUAGGUGGCUAUAAUAAUAAGGCCAAUUUGAUGCUUAUAUCGAUGAAAAUUUGUCCAUUGGAAUUAUUGUGAAGGUUGCUGUUGUCAAUUUAAAACAUUUGCCAUAUGUCCCAUAAUGCCAAUUUUAAAGAAGAAAUCUAAAAGUGGACUUCUCCUACUAAUAGAGCCAUCGAUCCUAUGAUUAAAAAAAAUAAAGAAAGAAAAUUGCACACAACAUUUUCUUUCUUCCUCAUCAAGCCUCUCCAUCCAUUCUCUUUCUUGUCAAGUCAUCUCUUUCGUCCAUAAGGUCUUCCUUCUCCUUUUCGAGUCCCUUUCUCCUCCAAAUUUCUCUCUCUUUUCCAUAAAUUUAGGCUUAAGAGUUCAUAGAAUCUAAGAAAUGAUACACACACACAUAUAUAUAAUUAAACAAAGUUAAAAAAAUUGUGUGCUAUGUAUCAGUACUCAUGAUUUGAAAAUUGUGUAUCGACUUAUCUAGAUAUAUAUAUUGGCUUGCUAGAUGACUAAUUUACUUGGUGUACAUUUCUAGCUAUAUAGUAUAUACUGAUAAAAGGUAUGUUGUAGAAACUAUAUAUCGAUUUAUUUGGAGGUAUGUAUGGGAUCACUAUUAGAUGUAUAUCAUAGAAGCUUGCAGUAUGUAACAAAAAAUUGACAAGUGUAUUUCAUUUGACCAUGUAAUAUGUACUGGUGAAUAUGAUGUUAUAGAAAUUAUAUAUCAAUUUACUUCCAGGUAUAUAUUGGAUUGUUAGAUGACUAAUUUAUUAAGUAUGUAUUAUCUAGCCGUGUACUGUGUACUAGUGAAUUUUAUACUCUCAAAACUAUAUAUUGAUUUACCUAAAGGUAUGUAUUGGCUUGUUAGAUGAUUAAUUUACUUAUUGUGUAUCGUCUAUUCAUGUAAUAUACCGAUAAAAAUAUAUUAUGAAAGUAAAAAAAAAAAGAUACCGUGCAUGAUUUUUUUUAUUUUUUUUAAUUAUGAGACUGAUGAUUCCAUUAGUAGUUCUUGUGUUUUAGGUUUUUUUCUUUAAUACAGCCCUCAUUAGAGAACACGUGGCAAGAUAAGGAGUGUGCCUUUUUUUUCCCCCCCCUGGUGCUCGCCCCUUGUCACUUUUGUCUGUCUCACUCCUUAAUUAGAAAUAGGAAACAUCAACAGACGCGAUAAAUCCACACGCCAACACACCCACUCUCCAAAAUGUGGAGCCUAGUUGAGUGGGUGCUGUCACCAAGAAAAGUAGGGACGUUUACAGCAGUCAAAAACUACAUGCACUAGACAUGGGACCCAAUCGCCUAUUUUGUUCUUGAAAAAAUAGGGAAGGGGGAAAGAAGCGACAAGCCCACCUUCACGUAGCAGCCUCCACUGGGCCCCCAUCCCAUCAGAAGAAUGUUCAAUGCGGACAGAAAUGACCGUGUAUUGGGCACCCCAGCCGGUUUUACUCAUACUCUUUCCAUCCGUGGGCCCAGCUCGGUUAUCUUUUCGAGCUCCGGCACGAAUACCACGUAUGAGUACGUGAAAUCUGGUACCACAGAGACUACCAAUAGAGUGAUACGUCCUUCCAGACCUCUUGUCCGAGCAGAAAGCAUCCGGUCUCCAUAAUUUAAUUAACGUCCGUAUGUUUCGAACUUGGAACCAUUUGGUUGAAAAUAAGACCACGCUAUUAUUGGACUACCACCUCAAUGGCACCCGAUCGAUUUCCUCCGGGUGCCCCAUCAGGAAGAUAAGCGAAACGAGGCGGGUCAUCCGGUUGCAGCACCAAAAUUGCCUCUGCGUUAUGCGGACUCGGAUCUUCCAACCAAAAACACUUAAGCACAUGAAAUCCCAUAGGCCCCACUAAAUUUGUGGUACGGAACAUGACAGGUCAUACUACAUGGAUUUAAACUCAGUCGCUUUAUCCAGUUGAGAGCAAACUGGGACCAGUUUUCUCCUCGAGACCACGUGGUGGGGUCACGUGGGACACGCUUUUGAUGACACAUCGCUAUCAAUCCUCGUGUCUGAUCCCUGCCGUGUUCCUCCUCCCGAUCCGCUAGGAGGAUAAUACCGUUUCUUUUUUACGGACUUCGUCAUACAAAAUCUAUACGAUCACUCAUCUACACCGUCCGAUCUCGCUCGCAUAGGGAUUUUUAACCUACCGCAUAGAAACAUUAACGUACAAGGAAAAUACUAUGGAGACGGUUCUAGAGUUUUGGAGAUCAACAGCCGCAUGAUUGAUGGACAAUUGUUGGGACCGAGGGCACGGGAAUCGGGCAAUGGUAGCCGUCGCUUUCCUUCGCGAUUCCAGCCGAAUACGCACCGCUUUUCCGCCCGCCUUUUUCUCGAGAAAAGUGGGGACCGAAGAGUCGCUGCUCUCACCCAAAUACGUUUAACCGCAAAAUUUUGAUGAAAUUCGAUACAUUAGUACUGAUAUGGUUGCAUAUGCCUGUCUAAAAUAUAGUCUGUAUUAAAACCAUUACUUGUCUCAAAAAUUUAUUAUAAUAUCAUGUUAAAAUUAUCACUAAUCUCAAAAAUUUAAAUUGAUAGAGUGAAGUAGAUUUAUUUAUAUAUUUUAUAUUUUCUUACAAUUCGUUGAAAAAAACGGACAUCACAUAUUGCCAUCCACAGCAUGGUCCGUUGGUGCACCCAAAAAUUAGGGUGCGGAGAUGGCCAAGCCCCAGCGCCAGCUACUUUACCAUGGCGGGUAGAAUUAUUUUGCGUCCCCACGAAGGCUAGGUGUAUGGUUAGAGUCCGGCAUGAAGACUCAUAAAAGGUUAAGGUGGUGGAUGAGUGCCGGUGGGUAGCACAAAUUUUCCCACUUGAUCUAUGGGGACAACUCUGUUGAUCCAUUUAAGCAAUUAAAAAAAAUGAUGUAAAAAGGAUUGGGCAUGGACUUAUAUAUAUAUAGAAACUGAUGGUGUUAUUGGUGCUCCCUAAGUAAGUACCUUAUCAAUGAGUUUGAUUUAAGAGGAUGUAGAUAAAGGUGUGUGAACGAGCAUUAGAUGACAUGUUGGAAUUUGUUUAUGUGAUAAAAUGGUUUACCUUUCUCAAGAUUUUAGCAUACUCUAAGACAAGGGAAAUAUUAUUUACAUCCACCGAAAGUUCUAAAACAGGAUUGGAAAUGAUUUGAGAGUUGCUCAUGAUCGAGUAGCUUGGUAUUAAUUUGUUUGAAGCAUAGUUGGGGCUUCGCUCAAUUAGAAAAGCUGAACUCAAAUAGUACAUGUAGAGCUCAGUUCAAAAAGGAGCCAAGCUUGAAUGGUGGUGGAUUAAUAUGAGCCGCACUUGAACAAGAUAUGUUAAACUUAGGCUCAAGCUUGAGCAACUCCUUUUUAAACAAGUCGAGUCCGACUUGAUACUCAAACCCAACUUGUUUGCACCUCUACCCUCAAAAGCUUUGGAAUUCAUAUACAUGCCCUUCCAGAAUAUAAAAUAAACAUAGAUAAUUUCUGGAGCUUGGUUCAAAUGGAAGCCAAGCUCGAUCAACAGUGAAUUACAUAAUUAAAGGAAAGCUAGGCUUCAGGAAUUGAAAGCUUGAUUUAAAGCUUAUAUGAGCCAAGCUUGAACAAGACAGGGCAAGCUCGGCUUGAGCUUGAGUGGCUCCCUUUCAAACAAGCCAAGCUCGAGCUGGUACUUGAACUCAGCUCGUUUGCACCUCUACUUUUGAAAGAUUUGGAAGUUGCAUAUAUGCCUUUUGUGAAUAUUGAUUACAAUGCAUGGAUAGUUUCUCGAGCUCCAAUAGCUGCUAAAGUUCGACUUAAAAAAGAACUAAGCUUGAAUAAUGUGGUAGACCACAUAAUUAAAAAAAGCUAGGUUGGCUUAGUAAAAGCUUGAUUUAGAACUUACAUGAGCUGAGCUUAAACAAAAUGUAUCAAGCUUGGUUCUGCUUGAGCAGCUCCUUUUUAAACACGCCAAGUUCAAGCUCAUACUCGAACUCGGCCAAAUAUGAAGAAAUCCAGGAUAUAUAUAAAGACAUUGCUCAAAGAUGUCUAUACAAAUGCCUUACGUAUUCAUGGAUUUGUAGUAAGAAUGUCUGUUGACUGGCGACGUUAUAUUUCAAACAUGUACGUUAAAUUCUCCAUUCAGGUCUCUAUCAGCUUUGCUCUCUCAAGCACAUUUGAUCCCCCCAUUUAUGGUGCCAGAACUGCACAUAAAUUCAUCUUUGCAUAGAAAUAUCCAUGCUCAUUUAUGAAGAUACCACUCUCCCUCGUAACACAUUUGAUCCCCCAACCACAACUGUACAUCACCUGCAUUAUGCUUAGAAAUAUCCAUGCUCAUUUAUGAAGAUGCCACUGCCCGAAAACACCCUACCGUGGCGUCUUUCACACUACAAAUUAAAGGAACAUUCAAUCUAUCGUACCCCACUGCCAUCACCUGCACAUCUCUCUCGCCCUCCGAUGCAAGAGAGCAGGAAGAGAAAGAAAGUGAGAAAAGGAAGAGAGAGGAAAUAGAGAAAAAAUAAGAGAAGAAACGAUGAAGAAAAAGAACCAUGCUUCGCAGGUAGUCCCGCUCAAAGUUUCACAUACUUGAAGUAAGAGAAUCAGUUUUUUAUUUUAUUCAUAAUAUAACUCUAAACAAGUAUAUAUAUAUAUAUAGUUAAGAAAUACUAAAAAGACCCCUAUAUGGCACUGGUAUCUGCACCACUCUCUUAUGUCCUCGACCACAGGAUGGAGAAUGAAUGAAGUCACUAAUGAGAAUGCAUGCGAGGGACGGGAGGUUGUUUCUAUGUGCAGUUAUUCCAACAUUCUUAAAGAUGCAUCCAUGGCUCCCACCUUACCACCCAGUACGUCAUUUAUGACCUCAAUCUGGCCUUCGGCACCGGUCUCUGGCUUCCCUCUGAUCCCGUAAAUCAUAUGGCGACGAAGACUAGCCGGCACGCAAACCCAGUCCAUCGGAAAUACUUUCUCCGCAAGUAAAAGCCCAUUCAUUCAUGCCCAAAGAAUUUAUCUGUCCUGAAAUACUUGUACCACCUUCUCAUUUAUGAGUUGCCGCUAGCUUUUCUGAUGCAUUACAUGGCAUUAUAUUGCCUGAAUCCAGUUUCUUAAUGGUAUUAGAAACCGAGCAUUACAUUGUUCUUUUGUUUGAAGAAAAAGAGAGUAGAUGAAAUUGUUACAAGAUAAGAAAGAAAAAGAAGAAUACAAGAGAAGAGGGGAGAGAUUGAGGUACAGGAUGGGGGAUAUAAAGGUGGCUUCCUUUCUUUCAAGAUGACAUGUCCACCUUCUUAGUCUUCUUGUUGUGAGGUUGAUGGCUUGAUUGGGGUUAUCGCUGAUGAAUGAUGAUGUCCAAAGCAAACAUUACGUUGAAGUACCAAGCCUCCACAUGCAGAUUUUCUUGAGAUCUAGACGAUAGUGCACAUAAGGUUUUUUCUAUAAUUCUAUUAAAUUAGCUUUUGGAUAUAUAUAUAUAUAUAAUUAAUUUUAAUUUAUUUAAUUAGUGAUUUUACUUUUGGCUCUUGUUCUCCUACUUACUAAGAUUUUAGUACAUGCUUCUUAGAUCCAACCUUGAAACAUUACAUUGGACUUUAUUCUCAUCCUCUGCAACCAAAACUAUCAUUCGAACAAAAUUAUUCCAAAUUUCAUAAUUGAUGCAAGCUACAUCAUUUACCUUGUAAUAUUUUAAUUUAAGAAAUUAUAAAAAGUAGCCUAAAAUUUAUUGUGUACAUUAGCCAAAUAAAAGACUUCCAAAUGAUGAAACUUAUGGAAGAAAUAAUCUAAGAUACUUGUCACAAUCAUAGGUGAGAUUGGGCAUUGUUGAUGCCCAAAAACGACCUAACAGAGUCUUGGUGAUUUGAUGAUUGGUCGGCUCGACUGAAGCUAGGCAAAGCAGACCGAGAUUCAACCUACAAACAGAAAGAAGCAACCAGGAGUUAUCAGUAUGUGUCUGGCGGAGGAUCCUCUAAUGUUUAAAUCGGACAAAGCUUUGGAAGGAAUAGUAGAGAUCUAAAAUAAAUAACGAGAUGAAAAAGUCUCUUAUCCAAGGUUCACUGGCCUGGUUUAUAUAGAAUGAAGGAUGAGAGUCUAUUGGGAUCUAGUCGUUUGAUCUUCAGACGAGCUGUCAGAAUCAUUAUUUGCCGCACUGGGCAGUUACACCUUUUCUUAUCCAGAGUUUCAAGAUUGUGUCAACCUAAAAACGUCCAAGCUAUUCGCUUGGUGGUUCGCUCUGCAGUUGAUUGCGCAUACCUCAUGUUUGCUCUACGGUUUUAAGGGUCGUCGAAUCUGGGCUGUAUCAAGCAUCACACUCAUAUGGCUGAAAUUGUGUAUUGUAUUCCAUAAUAGAUUGGAGUGGUUAUUUUCUUAUAAUCAUCGAAGUAAUUACUUUGCAUUGGCUUGUAGGUAUGUUUUAUACUGAGUUGUCAAUGAUAUAAACUAUUUCUUAGAAAAUCAUUAUCAAAGUUGGAGAUAUCGAUCUUGUAUGCACAACAUGUAGGUAGUCUCUUGACCCAAGGGCACGAGUACCCACUGUGUGUUUAGUUUAAUAAAUUUAGAGCCAAACCCAUAUACUUAUAAUGAUAUCCUGGAUUUUCCUUAAUUGGGAGUUCACUAGUUUACUGUACCUAAUGACGAGUGGAGGAAAAUAUUGUUCCAACAAGGAUGCCAUAUACUGCACUUUAUCCAUAUUAGAAUAGAGACACAUCAGACAUAAGAGUUCCGGUAGUAGACAAAAUUUUAACUGAAUUGAUUUUUCAAUUCUAAUUGUUAUUUUUUUGAAUAUAAUAAAUUACUCAAAAUUGAUUUUAUGCAAGCAUCAAUUUUUCAUAGCACCCGUUACGCGUGCUUGUUGAACAAUUGAGAUUUUAUCAUGCCUUAUCACUAACGUAUAUCUUUUGCUUACUGCAAUCAUUUUAGGCCUACCUUCCCUACCUAACAUUAUCACGAGAAAGUCCAUUUCAUUAUUUUCCGUGCAGCAAGCUGCUUGCUUUUCAUAUAGCAAGGUGUUCCUUGAGACAAAGUACAAAGUGGAUUUAAAAUCUAUAAGUAUGUGGAAACAAAUUAGCUAGGGAAUGGCCAGAAAACCACAAGGAUAAUAAGAAUAUCGGAUAACAUUCAAAAUUCAAAACUCUCAUCCGCUAUUCCUGCAUGUGAUUAGUUAUUCUUAACUAUAGUUAGCUCAUGUAUAUCUACGAGGGAUGUGAUUAGGCGUACAAUACUUAGAUCACUCCCAUUUUGUUGUUUGGUUAACGAACCUAUAACCUAUAUGUACAUGUCUCAUCAAUGAAAAUGUAUCGAGAUUUUAUCAUCUUUAUGGUAUCAGAGCAGCUCUUUCCUCCAACGAGAAGAAAUCGAUCCUCUCUCAUGGCUUUUAGCGAUUCCUCUAAUGCCACUCUUUGCUGUUGUCAACAGUCCCACCACUACCACUCCNNNNNNNNNNNNNNNNNNNNNNNNNNNNNNNNNNNNNNNNNNNNNNNNNUCGUCCAACUUUACCUCCUGGUGUACACAAUAUGUCUCCCUUUUUAUUGGCUAUGACCUAAUGGGUUAUGUUGGCGGCACAACUCCGUGCUUGCCGAAGGGAGAUGCGUCCUCAUCAUCCUCCUCAACACCGACGUCUCCAUCCCCUGCGUAUUUUCUCUGGUUUCGGCAGGACAAGCUCCUGCUUCAUGCAAUCUUGGCAUCAGUUUUAGAAGUUGUUAUUCCAUUGAUUGCUACAUCGGAGACCUCCCAUGCAGCCUGGUCGAAGCUCACUCGGCUCCAUGCCAACCACUCUCAUACCAGAGUCAUGCAGUUAAAAGAGAAUCUUACCCACAUCCAACGUAGUUCACAUUCUGUAACAGACUUCUUGCAUGCUGUGAAAGUUAUUGCUGUGAAACAUGACUCUGCAUACAAUUGUUGAGCACUUCAACUUACCAGCAAAUGAUCCUUAUUUGUGAUGAUAAUUAGGGCAUUGUAGUUGUUUUUCACUUUCUUUCUUUCUUCCUUUUCUUUUUAACAAAAAAGAAGGGCAUAGCAGUUGUUGAUAGCUCACAUGAGGGGUUAGAAUGAGCAGUAACUAGGUGCUGUUUUUCUCCUGUUUAUGCACAGGAAGUUUGACUUGAAAGUGAUUCAACCACAGUGUUGUUUUGGAUUAACAAAAUCGCUUUAUGCAGGAUGAAGAACAGCACAUUGUUGCAGGAUACUACGGCGUGGGAAGCAGUCAGCCACAACAUUCGUGGCUACUCACAUACCUUGUGAAGGAAAUCAAGCUACUGAUUGGCUUGCAGGCAAUGCUGCUCAAGACGGCUUUACUCCUUAAAUACUGCGAUAGAGUGCACCCAUUACUUGCCCGAAAUUGCUGCUGGUAUGUCUAGAGUUGUUUCUCUUUAUAGUUUGUGUGAGAAUACAUACGGACAUCUAUUUAGUCUCAUAUUGAUUAUUCACUGGAUAGAUCUUUAAUAUUUACAUAAAAUUAUUAAAUUUAAAUAAUUGUUAUAAAUAGUAUUAGAAUGGAUCCGAUCUAUAAUCUAUAUAGACUAGAAAAUACUGUAGCACGGAUCUAUUAGGGUUGACUACAGACAAUCUAAAUAAUAUUUCCAACUAGCUAUUUUAAGUUAGAAAUUAAAGAAUCUAAAUGAUAUUUUUUUGACAAAGUAUUUUAGGUCAGAAUAUUGGCCAGCUUUUUUGAGUAAAAAAUCAGUUUCUCAAAUUUUAUAAAUAGAGCCUUUAAUUUCACGUCCAAAGGCCAACCAACUGGAAACAAGCCUCUCUCUCUCUCUCUCUCUCUCACUCUCCUCCUCCUUCCUUCCCUACCUNNNNNNNNNNNNNNNNNNNNNNNNNNNNNNNNNNNNNNNNNNNNNNNNNNNNNNNNNNNNNNAACCCGAACCACCAAACCUAACUACCCUCCUCUCUCUCUCUCUCACACACACACACACACACACACACACACACACUCACCCACCCCUUAAAAAUGCUACCCCUUUUUUUCUACUCUUCAGACCCUCCUUCAACGCAUGAGACCAUCUCUGCAUUCUUUCCUUGUCUGUUCCUCCUGUAGUACUCUACAGUGUUGGUGGCUGAAAUGGACCUUGGUGGGGUGGUGGGCAUGGAUGGGUUGGUGGGUGCCUCUUUUCUCUGUGGUGGUGUCUUCUUCUCUCCCCGGGCUUCUUCGGACCCUGAAUCCAAUAAGCAAAAUGGGUUCUUGAGGUCUGGUCUUGUGAAAGAGGGGAGGCCUUGUGGACCAGAGGAGCAUGAUUGGAGAUGCCUCAAGGUGGCCAGGACUGAGGCCCCUUCCCUGUUCCCUGAUGCACAGCAAAUGCUCAGCUUCUCCUCAUCCAAGCCGGAUGCUUUUUUAUUCAGCAGCGAACCACUGUCAUCAGUCCCUCUAGCGUCCUCCUAUGUUGGGAAUGCAGGUAAAGCGUAAUAAAAAUGCUUGUUUGAAGACUUUGGGCUAACAUGGGACCGGUGGGAUUUGGUGAAACGGAUCAUGCUGCUCGUUUUUUUGGGUCGGUGUGAGGCCUCUAUGCUCGAAGGGUUUGGUCUUCUUGUGGUAUAAUAUUGAUUCUGGUGUUGAUUGGUAGGGAUCUUUUUCAUGGCAUUCUAUUGAGCCAUCUUUAGUUUGAAUCUUGUCGAGAAGAAAGUUGAGUCCUUUCUUUUCCCUGUCUUUAUAGUUGUAGUUUAUGGAAAUCAGUCCACUUUCUUCGCAACAAAGAACAGAUAAAUGGGACAAAAAGAUAGACAGAGAGAAGGAAGAAUAAUAAAUUUUAUUUUUUUGGGUUGGUUAUACUUAUGCAACUUAAUGAGCUCUUAUUAAUGUCAUCCUGACCAGUCUCCUAGCCAGGCCCCUUUCAAGGCUCUGUUAUUUGUUAUUGUUACAUGUUAUUUUCCUCCUAUCUCGAUCUCUGUUUGCUUCUGCUUGUGUUCCAUAAUAUGAUGUGGGGUUUAGCCUUAUCCUGUUGCUUCAUUACUUCCUAAUCUUUUGUUUUUUCUCUUCUUAGGCUUGGUUUCGGGAAGUCUUGAUGUGAAAAUGCAUGGGGUUUUGGCAGGGGUUAAGGGGCCCUUCACUCCCUUGCAGUGGAUGGAGCUAGAACAGCAGGCCUUGAUCUACAAAUAUAUGAAUGCAAAUGCUCCUAUACCAACCAGUCUGCUAAUCUCAAUCAGGAGAAGUCUAAGCUCAUCUAGGUUCACAUCCUUCUCAGCUGGAUCUCUUGGACCCAAUACAUGUAAGCUGUCCUCACUCUAACUAGUAGUAACUGAUAACAAAAUCUCUACUGGGUAAUCCAAGAUGGAAAUAUGCCAACAUUUCUGUUCUAGCAAUAGGUUUAUGUACAAGUAGCCUACAUGUCUUUCUGAUUUCAGUCUCAAGGGAUUUUUUAGGAAUGGCAUUGUCCAAUUUUUUUUUAAAAAAAAUCUACAAGAGCCCUUUAAAUCCUGGAAUAUGUGUUACAUAAUGAUUACUAUAUAGGGGUGUGAUUUUUAUGAGAAGAAUUGAUUCAUAGUUUUUAGUUUCAUAUGACUUACAAGUUGUUUUCUAAUGUUUGGUAGAGUACACAUUAAGUUGUUUAUUAAAGUUGGUAGCAUUAUCCUAAUCCUUGCAUAAUUUUCUUUUAAUUGCUGCAGUUGGAUGGGGAUCUUUCCAUCUAGGUUUCUCUGGGAAUGCUGACCCAGAGCCUGGAAGAUGCCGUCGGACUGAUGGCAAGAAAUGGCGGUGCUCAAGAGAUGCAGUUGCCGAUCAAAAGUAUUGCGAGCGACACAUGAAUCGGGGCCGCCAUCGUUCAAGAAAGCCUGUGGAAGGCCAAACUGGCCGUGCCGCAAAGGUGAUGCCCAUCAACGCCACUACACCAGCAGCUCCAGCUGUUUCUGGCAGUGGAUCACCUAAUAAUUUCACAAUGGCUCAGCAGCAGAAGAAUAAUGUGAAGGCAAACAUCACUUAUUCUUCCCCCACACAGUUUGACAGGUAUACAUGAAAUCCGUAUGCUGUAUUUUUUUUGGUACGAAAAUCCAUAUGUUGUAUUUCAUUUCAAGUUCCAUUGCUUUUAUUAUGAAUUAUAGCAGUGAGACUGGUAUUGAUGCAUACUUCUUUCCUUCUGUAUAUUCCUGAAGUUGGUUUUUGUUUGCUUCCUCAAGAACUAGAUUUCAUGGUUCAAAUGAUUAUGUUUUUUAACCAGUAAAAACUGUUAUGACCAUUUGACAUUUCGUUUGAAUCUUUUGAAGAUUCAAAGACAUUAUUCUUGAUCACUAACUAGUAUGACACAUUUCCAUGAGUUCCUCCAAACAUGCUGAGUCAGCAUGUCGAUGCAUCCUGUUGGUUGAUUGGCAUUCACUCUUGGAAAUAUAUUAUUAUCAAGCUAGUACUGAUAUGAAAUAUCAAGCAAAGGUCGUGCUUAAAAACCUUUAAAAUAACUAAAAGAGAAUAGUUGGAUGUAUAUGUUAAAUGGUACAUUUCACAUAAUAGAGCAACUAUAUAAAAGUUUCCAGGAACUUUAUUAGUUCUUACCCAUUAUCAAGUAUGGAGGACCCUUUAUAUGUUACAUAGUUUGAGCUCAUUCAACCAUUAAGCAACACUCCAGGGUUUCAUGGACUUGAAGUGUGUCAUAAUGAAAAUAAAAAUACAAUGUAUGUUUUGAUAAAGGGAAUUACAUUUGACUUUUAAGGAUUUUCAUAAUGUCAAGCACAAGUAGAACUGAUUUUCAUGCGACAUUUCUUAAAGCAUUUAUAUAUUACAACAUAAUUGUGUAACAAUAUUCACUGGAGUGGUCCAAUUUCUUUCUUUAUAUUGGACUGGAUGGUUAUCAUGUAAGAAAAUAUAUUAUUUCUUUCUUUACAUUUCUUAUGAGAUGAUGCUUCUUUUAAGGUCUCAUUUGAGGUAAUGUCAGAGUUGUGAUAGUUAUUUCCUAGACACUAUAGCAAAAAAGGACUGAUAGAUACGAUUUGAAUGGAUAAAAUGUUUGUACCUCUCAAUUCCCUUUUGAAGAAGAAGAUUCAGUUUUCUCGUCACCCAUGUCGGGCUUGUAUUUUUCCUCUCUUUAAUUAAAUUGAUCCGCAGCCAUGAUAGCUUACAUAUUUCCUCUUUCUUUACUUUAAGGUGUAGUUGUCUCUUCAUAUCUUUGUAAUGAUGUAAGCAUUAGCCAUUUAGGGUUAUUAAUCUAAACUGAUUCUUUGAAGAAUAUCAGAUUUCCUAGUGGUCUCCGGUCAAACCUAGCAGACCUUAAUCAGCUAAUUGAAAUUUGUUUGUGGAAUGCUGUGAUUUCAAAUAACUACUUAGAAGUUGUAUUUUUGUUCAGCUGUAUCAUACUGAAACAAGAUCGUAGGUGAAUACUGUAAAUCUUCUUCAGAGCAUAUAAAACUUCCCUCUUUCAUAUUUGUAACUUUGUCUAUGUUCCUCUGCAGGGUUUUGGCUAACAAUGAGUUGAAUAACUCACAUGACCUCUCCAUGUUAAACUCAGUGAACUCAGAGCCCACAGAGACUUUAUUCCCCAUUGCAGAUCAGCAUAACCCUUUCGCAGAAUUGCCUUCACGAGCAAACUAUGGACUUAUCUCAGACUCACCAUUUAAGCUCCCAAGUAACUCCUACUUAGGGAAUGAUAACUUAGUCUCCUCUGUAGAAUUCAAUGAUCAAGAUUCCCCAGCCAAUACCUUUAGACACUUCAUUGAUGACUGGCACAAAAAGCACUCCGAUAGCUCAACCAUCAUCCGGACUGAAAGUGAAAUGCAGUCUGACAAAACUCAACUCUCUAUUUCAAUCCCUGUGGCUUCUUCUGACUUUUCAUCAUCCUCUUCUUCUCCAACACAUGAAAAGCAUACACCUUCAUCACUCAAGUUGUCUCUGGAUUUUGAUCCUGAUAAUACUCAUGUAGGUGUAGGAGGCCACCCAAAUGAUGGGAACCAACGGCAGGCAAGUUGGCUACCGACCUCUUGGGGGUCUUCCAUGGGUGGCCCUCUUGGAGAGGCCUUGGCCAACACCUGCCUGGACCAUAAUAAGAACUUCUCAUCCUUAAAGCUCGUGACAAAUGGUUGGGACUCGAGCCCCCAGUUAAAGUCAUCCCAAACUGGUGUCCUGCAGAAAUUUAGCUUUGGCUCACUGUGUAGUACCACUAGGAGUAGUCCAGUUGCUGAGAAACACAAUCUCCAGGACAGAAUCGGUAGCUCAAACCUUGUAAAUCCAUCGACCAUUACCUCAUCAUAAUCGUUUUAGUUAGUGAAGCAGCAACAAGAAAAGCUACAGCAGGAAGAACUUUGAGAGAGGUUUCCCAAGAUCGUGUGAUUGUAUUAAGUGUUGCAUCAGUUUCUUCGUUCUUUUAUUUGUUUCUUGUCAUUUUCUAUGUUGAUUUGUGGAGCAUUGGCAUGCCUGCCAGUGUCUUGGUGUGAGUAUACUGUUGUUUUGGCUUGGGUUUGAUCUGUGGCUGUCAACUAGUUGCUUUAUUUCGUUGGUAUUUUGAAAAAGAAGGGGGGUUGAUCAGGAUAUACUGUUUAAUUAUUUCUCCAGCUCCUGCAUUUCUUUGUAUACUCUGAUAUAGCAAAGAUUUUGAAGAGAAAAGCCUUGUUUGCCAAAAUUAUACUUCUGUGCUUUUAUCUCCACUAUGGUUUAAAAAUUCAAAAACCCAACUCAACUUGAACGCGAUCCAAGUUGAGUCGACUCAUAGACUCUAUCCAGCAUUCAGUACCCAAUGAGUCUCGAACAUCAAGACUUGCAGAUACAUACAUAUAUACGAUACACACAUACAUAUAUACAUGCAUCCAUAUAUACAUACACACAUACGUAUUUAAUGUUAUAUAUAUAUAUGUUAUCGAAUAUUGAUUUUUAAGAAUAUAAAUAAGAUAUUUAUAUACAUGAAAACAACGAACCCUAAAUUUUUAGUCCAUAGACAGCAUAUAAUUUGUCAACUUAAUAAUUAAAAUAAAAAUUAAAGUAUAUCAAUGGCUAUUUGACAUGCCAUCAAAUUCUAUUUGAAUGUCAGUGUCAAAUUGCUAGGAGGGGGCAGCCAUUAGAACCCGGCAGUGCAUGAUAAAAUUAUGAUUUAUGGGGGGGAUUUCAGGCAGGGCAGGCAACGCGCAAAAAUCCCGAUCUUUCACAUUCUAUUUAUAUUAUUAUAACUUUAUACUAAAUAUGCUUACCAAAAGGUGCCCCGAUUAUUUGCUUUGGUUGAAAAUCUUAAAAAAAAAAUUGUAUUGCAAAAAAUAAUACCUACUGUUUAAGACUCAACAGGAUAAUGAGUUUUGGGUAACUCGAUGAGUCAGUUGGGUUGGCUCGAAACUUGCCGAGUCAAAGUAACUCGGCCGAAGUUUGAGUUGGCUCGACGGGUUUUAACUUUGAUAUCCACUGCAGGUUGGUAAGAGUGUUGCUUAUGUCUGCCAAAAUAAAAUCCUCUGGUUAUAUGUAUGUUUCUGCACAAAGCUUCCAUUGCAUGGAUUUUUUCUCAAAUAAAUUGAAACAUCUAGGCUGUAGCUGAUUGAUGGGUUGUCUAGUAUCAUAAGAACUUGAUUGGUGAAGUACGUACUUACUAAAAGAUGCAGAUGGUUAUGAUAAUUCCCAAGCGGAUGGAACCGUCCGUGGCACAAUGAAUGCAGUCAUUCCGUUGUAGCUAUUGCACCAGUUUCAUCCCCUCAUAGGCGAAUCCAAAGAUGCUCCUGCUUUAACUACUUUAGAAGUUUUAUAACUAUUUUCGAGCAUCGGUCAAAUGGCUCAAGUUCGGUAGCUUGGUUUUCAAAUGUUAAAAAGAAGAGCUUGAAAGAGGUACAUUGCAGCAUAAAGCAAUGAAAUCAUCACAAACUGCGACUGCCAAAGGCUAUGAUAUCCUUCCAUUUCUACAGUUUUGAACCUGCAAGAGAGUUUCAGUACGUUCUUUGCAAAUUCUUCUACUUUGCAGGGUCAUUCUGCCGACCUCCACAGAGCUUCGUGAUCAUUACUUCCGCAGAAGUUUCAGCGAGUUGUUGAAGCGUGCGCUGGUAACUGUACGCUUCAGUGCUGAGAUCAUAUCGAGUGUGGUUAUUACCAAGGAAUUGCAGGCGAUCUCUUCACUUUCUGCAUGUCUUGUGGUUUUAUUUUUAUCAGUGGCCAUGGCCAUUUUUCUGGAAGAGUAUACACGGCUCCAUCUGGGACAAGACUCAUGGACUAUGAUGCAAGAGAGUGCAUUAGUUUUGACAUGUUAUAAGCAGUGGAUGCCUCUAGUGUUCUGGUCCUCUGUUGCAGGGUUAGCUUCAAAUAAUCCUGCAUUUGUUGCACUAAGCUAGCAAAACAAAGGGAAGUAGGGCACCCACAACAAUUGAUUUAGCGCCAUCAUUUUUUAUUUCUUUUAUUUCUCUAAAUAAGAUUAUAAAUUUAAGACAAAAAUGUAUUUGAUACAAUUAUAUAUAUAUAUAUAUAUAUAUUAAAAAAUAUUAUUUGUAGAAAAAAUGUAAGUAGGAAAUUUUUACUUUUACUCUUUUCAAAAAUAAAUACCACCGAACACCUACUACCUCCACCAUUGCCGCCAUCACUAAUAUUGUUUGUCUCCCCCACCAUUACUACAAUGGCCACCACUAUCGUCUUGUCGUCACCUUUGCUACCCCCAUCUCAAAUGUCACAAUUCUAUUCACCACUGUGAUAUCUAUCACACCACCAACACCAUAAUCGUUGCCAUAACUAUAUUGUUAAUGUCUCCAUCACCACCACUAUAUUGCUACUAUUUUCAAUCCUAUCGUAGACGCUGCAACUACCACAAUAAUUUUCACCAUUUCCACCACUAUUAUUAUAGUUAUUUUUUAAAAAAUGACUAACUAUACCAAUAUGUUUAUAUAUUUAAAAUUUAAAAUAAAAUUGAAACAAAUUAUUUAUUUAUUUUAAAAUAAAAAUGAAUGUGAUACCAAAUGAUCCCUCAUUCUAUUAAGUAGAAUUUAACUAAUUAAGAGUAAUCUUUCAUACUUUUCCAUCUCCAAUGACACAAAUUUUAUGCGGUGGAGAGGCACCGUCCAUGGAAGAAAAAUUAAAUAUUGCAAACUCUUAUUCUCGGACCUCAAGGGAUAUGAAAUGUCCUCACUCAAAAUACUACCUAAAUACAAAGUGCAAGUUAAUCAGGCAUAGGGGUUGCAAUUUACGACCCAACCAACAAACCAGAUCCACAACCGAUCUGCUUUAAGUAUGUUCAAAUCUGACUAAGUGAAUCUAGAUCUUUAAUGGGUCAACCCACGUCCCUAACCCAUUUUAACCCAUUUACUUAACAGAUUGAAUCCAAUCCAUUUAAAAUUCAAUAAACCCUGUUUGAAACCAAAUUACUUAACCUGCUUAACUUGAUUUGCCCAUAAUCAGGUUGGGUCAGUCCACUCAUCUAACUCAAGAGUGGGGUUUGAAUCAGGAUAUUUUACUUAUUUAAUAAAUAGUUUAGGUUGGUAGACCUUUUGAUCCGACUUGCAACCCGAUUGCAGCUCCUAUUUAAUGAUAGUCAACUGAAAAGAGAAAACAAUAAUUUGCUACACGCCUUUAAAAUAAACCUUUAAAAUAAAUCUUGGUCAACUCGAUAAUUCGCUUCAUUAGGAUAGAAUGAAUAAUGAUAAUUUGACAAAAGGCUGUUUUUGCCAUAUAAUAAUAUGAAUUCCUUUGCACAAUCCUGUACAACUACUAGUUUAAAACCUCCUACUAGCACUGCAUCAAAGUAUGUUCCAAGGCAAUGAAUUUAUUUGACAUCAAGAGGAGUAUCAAAACCACAGGCAACUCCAAUUGAUGAAGACUAACUCAGCCUGACAGAAUCAAGAUUCGCACUCAAUAAACAUAAUAUAGCUAAGUAGAACAUAUACAAAGAUUUAAUAGGAUAUACUUUUACAAACUUCAGCGCUCAUAUUAUACCUUGAAUACAUGUGAACUUUUCAAAAUGAUCCAGCUAUCAGAGGGACCAGCAAGAUGCACUACCCUCCUGAUAAGCCAUACACUGCAAGCUAAAGAAAAAAAUCUUGUUUGCUUAAGAAGCCCAGGGCGUCCGGCAAAACAGACAACUCUAAUGACUCACUGAAAAUAAUAAUAAUAAAAAAUUCGAUACUAUUUCGAUUCAAUGUAAUCAGAUUAUCUUUAAAGUUUAAAAAGGGACCAAAAAUUACAGCCCAAAGCAAUGAACAAAGUUGACAUCCUGUUCCUGCUGUCAGAGAGGAAACAAAAUCAUGUACAAUGUAAAUAAUGCUAGAACGUAAAGUUAACAUGGUCAAAUAUGCAAGCCUGAUAACUAUCUCACCUAAACUACAAAAGAAAUAUGCUUCAACGAGGUUAGCAAAGUGUGAGGGUGAAUGGUGAAGAAAAAUGUGAUUACAGAACAAACUCGAUCUUUCAAUCAAUCAUGUUUCAAUGAUAUGGAAUAUGUAAGCUAUUUUAUAACCAAAAUGCAACGAUAUAAGCUAUCAUAUUACAUCAAACUAAAAUAUGUAAAUGUCUAUUUCCACUAGGGAAGGGAUUGAACCUUUGAUCUCUUUGACCUUGUGGUUAACAGCAACUGAACUACUCUAGCUUAUUUUACAUAAAUUAUCCAAAAAAAAGAACAAAAAAAAACAUACUAGAAAAGGACAAGACACCAUGCAUAUAAAAACUGUAACCUGCAUUCAAGGACUGAACUUGUAGGCCACUUGCUCAUGUCUAGAGUCUGUCCCUACCAAAAAAAAAAAGAAAGAAGUAUAUUAAAAACCUGUUGCAAUAAUUCCCUCCAAAUUUCUUUUAGCUCCCAAUCCUCUUCUUAUCUCUUUAACCUGUAUAUCCACAAGACUGAAAUUUUUCUCCUAUUGGUACCCCAAGAAGCAGAUUCAUAUCCAGCCCAACCUCACCCCCAACUGACCCAAAGAAGGAAUCUAAUAGGUUUCCAAGUUCCAACUUCCAAAACUUGACAAUCACAUGGAAUACAUUUAAACUAACUUCUGCAUUUUUAAGGAACAAAAGACUCACAUACCCAACACAGAUUCAUUGUGGUUCCUUUUGGGGCCUUAUAGACGACGAAAGGAAUGAGCAAUGUAGUGGAUUCUAGCUAGCAAGAGAGGAGGCAGUUUUCCAUUGAUAUUUAAAAACUGAGGGGGCUAGGAAGAACUUAUAGAAACUGAUGCUAAGUGCUACAAAAGAACAGUAUAUGCUUGUAUCUUGGUUAACUAUAAGAAAUUAAAGAAAAUGCACUUCCAUGAUUCAGUGAAAAACCAAAUGGUCAUCUUCAAUAAAAAGGGCACUCCACUCUGGGUUCAGUGAAGCUUAGCUGAAUGUAAAAACAAAAUAAUAGGAGAUACUUGAUUCAGGAGGGUUAUGACGAGACAAAGUUAGGGGGGGGGGGGGGGGGGGGUGCGCGCAACAGCAACAAUAUUAGCAAGAUGCAAAACUGGCUAUCUACACCUGAUUCUGUUGCUGCACCUGAUAGCAGCUUAACCCUGAAUAUGUCUAACUCUCAUUUCUUCCAUCUCUCUCUCAAAUCCUAAACCCCUUCCCUCCCUGCCACUAAAACCCUGGAAACCAUUGCAACAAGCUUGCACAGUCUACCAACACCACUAUCAAGAACGAUGACCAAUACAAAGUCAGGAACUGCAUCGCCAUCACCAUAGUCUUCUAAAUUAGGAGUUCUCAGACUAACAACUGGAAGGCCAUCAGUGACCAUUUUGUUGAGUAAAUUGCAUCUGUGAAUAGUAUCAUCUAUGUUACUCUCCUAAUCUUCAACCCAAUUUAGCCACUUCAUUCUACUAUCACACCCUACUGUUGUUGAAAGGGUCUAUAACGAAGACCAGAAAACAAAUUAUAAUUGGUAUUGAUCAAAAUGCAUCAUCAGUUCUCUAAUAAAAUAUAUUCAAAAAAAGCCAAUAAUACUUUCUAAUCAACUGAGUCUAAAUUUAAUCCAACCUAAAUUUCACCAAUGCCACCAACUUUCAUGCCUUCUGGUCUUUUGCAGACCCAAAUUAGAGAAUUCAGAUACUUAAGCAAGAUGCAGAUGCUAUGUAGAACAUUUCAAUGUAAAUUAAUAAUAAAACACUCAAGUGACUAACCUUCAGCUUUACCAUCCUCACAAAACCUAAUAAAAGUUAGAAAAAAUUGUUUGUCCAAAUAAUCCUCCUUGAAGAUCUGAAUGUCAAAACUACAAUGCAACCAAUUCCCAUUUUAAAUCCUCUAGUAGAUUCCAACACAAGUUGCUAGCACUUGGAUUAGCCACUUUGAAAAACUCAAAAAAAAAUUAAAUAAAAAUGUUAUUUUCAAAUAACUAGCAAUAUACUGCAGCUUCUUAACCACCUACUCAACUAAUUUCCAGUACCCAUUCUCUCCAUCAUUUACUAGGGACACUCAUCCCUUCGACAUAUAGUUUUUUUAAUGUUGGUUUAUAUAAAAGCUGCAUAGUCUCCUCCAAUUGUAUGUAAAUACAAAAUCAUAAAUAAGUUGAAAAACUGCCUAUGCUAAAGAAACCUUUAGGAAAGAAUCCCACUAUCUCGAAAUAAAAGAUUCCAAAUUCCUAUACCUUUCUGCCAAACAGGUCCUUUAGCCAUGAUAAGAACGGAGUGUGGGUAUGAUAAAGAGUCACCACACAUGUACAGGGUUUAGAGUUGCAAACUUUGAUGAAACACAUCUAUUCACUUAUAAUUCUUCAUAGGCCCAUGCAGACUUCAGUCACAAGUCCAGAGCCAGCCUUUCAAGCUAACAGUUGCCUAAAUUCUCACUCUCAUAUGAACUCUCUCCUACAUUACUUAGAACUUGUGCUCCCUUCCAGUCUUCUUUUAAAAUUGGAUAAUAAUUUGAUAAAAUUUUCAACAGUUUUUACAUGUAUUAAAACCAGUUCUAUUGGUUUUAUUGUUGAAUUUUUAAUAUAAAUAUUUAUUAUUAUGUUUUAUCUAUUUUGGUGUUGCAUUGCAAAUUCAUGAACCACUGCUUUUCUUGGUUACAUGUGCAUAAGCACGUGCAAUAUAACUAGUCAACACAAUAUUCAUGGUAACAUCCAAUUACCAACCAUUUUGAAUUAAUGAUAUCCUCAUCUUAAGCCAUCCCAUCAAGGCAUAAAGGUGUACAAUGUACAUAGCAUACCAUUCUGUUUUGCACUUGUUCAGCCACAGCUUGCCUUGUUCACUAUAGAAUCAUCUAUGGUUUAUAUAUUCACUUUUUUGCAUUUAGAAUCCUAUCAGAUAUAUGUUAUUGCAUUGCAAUUUACAUAAACUAGAGAACAAUGAAUUAAUUACAAAAGUAGGAAAGUUUUAAAAUAGUCACAAGCAUCUACUCCCAUUAAAAUCAAACAAGUAUGUAAAACCAAUACCUACAAAAUGAAAACAAGAUUUCUAGUAAUCAUAACACAUCAAAAAUUCCGAAGGACUGCACUCUUAAAGAUAACAGUAAUCUUCAAACAAACACAAUAGACAGAUUCCUCUUCUUCUUCUUCUUCCCAUUCGUCUUCUUCUUCUUCUUCAAAAUAUUAGGCAUCGUUUAACCCAAUUCAACAAUCAACUUCUAAAUAAAAAAA